rnacentral:lncRNA from 1 species
CUUCUUGCUGCAGUAGGAGGCGAGCUUGAAGGUUGAAAAGAUGGGUUCGGAUACAGAGACCAAAUUGGAGUCGGAUUCGAGGCUGGCAAUUGGGUUUUAUACACAAAAUAGGUGAGAAUUUGAUUUCCCCCUUUUCCCCUUUCGAUUUGUAUGCAUAGAAACUGAAAUCUUGCUUUGGCCUUGAUCGAUUGGUGACGCCGAGCUUGAGGACUUUGGUGAGCUUGGGCUUCAAGGGAGGUGAAUUGUGUGAGUCGUGCGCAGGGACAAGAGAAUCGUCAUUGCCGAAGUGGUGAGCCUCUAAACUUCUUGACUCUAACUGUUCUCCACACCAUAAGUGGAUUUUUGUCUUGUUCCCAUUUGAUCAACUUAAUUGAGAACUCCACCUUUGUGCAGAACACCACCGCCCACUUUUCAAUUGUUUCUUUGUAGAGGCCCCAUACUUAGUUUAUUAUUUCUUAGUGGCCAUCACUUAAAAGCACUGCAACCUUCUUUUUUUGUUUAUAGUCCAUCAUCUCCUGCCUUACAUUUAAUCAUAAUAUAGUCCAUCAUCUCCUGCUUUAUCUUUGCAAUGUCGGCACCUCUUCGAAGCGAAAGCUGCUGCAACCAUAUUGUUAUCUUUUGGGUGUUUAACAGGCUUUGACUGCCCUCUUUGAGAUUUACACCAUAUUUGUUUGCUAUUGGCUUCUUCAACUUCAAGCUUGUGCUUAAUAGAGUAGCUUGUUAUGCAGGUAUAUGUAACAGGAGCAUUGUGGAUGUCAUAGAGUUUGCUGCCAAGUUAUGUUUAUUUUGACAGGCUCUCUUUUGACUGUUGGAAGAACACCAGAAUUAUAGGCUCUCAAAACAAACAAGGGACUCAGAACUUUUAUUUGAGGGUAAGCUCGUUAUUUAUUUGGUGAGUUUAAUUUGGUGUUUGUGUGAGAAUUCUGGGUUAUGAAAGUUGGGAGAAAGCAAAAGGAAGGCUGAGGAUUGCUUCUUGAUUAUAUAGUGGUGCUUGGAAAGAAUUUAUUGUUUAUUCACAAGAACUAUGGCAAGAACCCAUUAAGGUCCUCUGCCAAUGUCUGAAAUUUGUGGAUGAUUUCGACACCCUAAGGCACGCCGCAUGGUUCUGUAACUGCUUCGAAGAUUGUAUCGGCACCCUAAGGCACGCCGUGUCAAUUCCGAAACAGCACAUCGAUCAAAAGGAUGAAGCAAUGGGGUUCCCACCUUUUCAAGCUUCUGGUUUUCUCCUGUAUUUGCCUCCUUCUUCUCCUUCUGUCGAUCUCUGUUCUCCCCUUGGCUGGAACCAUUUGACCUCUUUUUAUAUUGGAAUGAUGACUCAAGUUGAGUUUGAGUUAUACUCUUGAAUUUGACACGACUUGGAGUCCUCAGGGACAGCUGUGAAUUCUGUAGUCUUUAUCCAAGCGUCCAUUGUUUGAGUCCCAAGCCAACUCUUAUAUUUGAUGUGUUUGUUGUCAUUGUGAAGUGGGCUAAAAGCCCCGACCCCUUUUUUAAUUACCAUUGAUUUCCUCAUUUUUUUGUAUAUCAACAGUAAUAUAAUAGUUAAGCUAAAUUGUGAGAAAAAAACUAGCCCUUCUCAGCCCUAUUUAGCUUUAUUUAAAGGGCGGGCUCUAUUCGGCCUUUUUAACUCUAAUGAAAGAGGCCGCAAAAAGUGCCUUUUUAACUCUAAUGAAAGAGGCCGCAAAAAGUUCAUAUUCAUGUUGCAUACAAGUAUACUCAAUCUUCCCCACUGACCAUUGUGAGUUUGUGACAUUGUUCUUCAUUUCCAACCCAAAAGUUUACCCCUAUAUAUAUCAAUAUGAAGUAUGACGGUAUGAACCAAAUAACAAUACCAAAGAAAAAAGAACAAGAAACCAUCUCUGAUUUAUUUCACUAUGAAUUCAACAAACAACAAUUCGGCACAUCUAUGUAUUUGAUUAUGGGGUUUUUCUCACAAUCUCCAUACAACGAAAAAAAAUCUCAGUCCUCAGAGUCUGUGUACUCCCCAUCACAAACAUCGUCGGAAUCAAACUCGCCGUAGUCUUCAUCAUCACUCAACUCCACACUACUAUCCUCCCCCUCCUCCUCAUCGUCGCUACCGCGAGCUUGGAGCUUCCCGAGAGUAGAGUCCAAUGCUCCGCCGAGUCUAAGCCCACCAACCAUUGACGACGGUGGUUGUUGAUAAAGAUACUGGCGCAGACCCGAAAGGUGAGGAAGCGGUUUCUGAUUGGAAGGCUGGAUUGAAUGAAUGAGAGGUGGGUUUGUAGAAGUGGUCUUGGGGACAGCGGCGGCCAAGAAGGAGCUGCGGAGGAAGAGGAGCGGGGCUUUGGUGUCUUGGAGAACGGUUUUGGCUGCCAUUGAUUGAUUGUGUGACUGUGACCGACUCUGUUUUCAAGUGUUUUGGUGGCUCCCAAUGGGAAUUGUGUGCUUUAUAUAGCGAAGGGUUUAGGGUUUUAGAAGGAAAGAAGUACAUCAUUUGGGUACAAAGCAACGAAGUCCAUCAUUAAGUAAAGCCCAUCAAUAAGACCCUAACUUUAUCAUAGCAACCGAGAUCUAAAUAUAAUGGUAACAAAUUAACAAUGUUACCAGGUUCCAGUAGUCACUAUAAUCUAGUUUCUUAGAUUUUACAACAUCAUAUCCUUAUGAAACUUGUGUAACGGGCAAUGUCUCAUGAAGCCUUUCUCCUAUUAGCAAUUUAGCAGAGCAGUAUGAAAGGUCUUCUAAAUGAAAAUACUAAAACACUGGUUUUUAGAGAACUUUCUUUACCAUUAUACAGUUUAACUUCUCAAAGGCAGUAAGUGGCUUGACUUGAAUACUAUUUACUAAGCAUGGUGAAAAUGAAAACUGAUCAAAUUGUAAACAUUGAACAAACCUGUGAAUUUCAAUGUGAUGAGUAUCCUCUGGUAAUUUUGGAAAAGGAGGAACAUUCAGUCAAUAUAUUACAUAGUUUUAUCUCAGAUACAAUGGAGAUUGAAGUGGAACAGCAUAUCCCAGAGCCACCAAAAUGACCAACAAAAACAUCAAGCACCCUGCACCCGAAAGGAUCUCACUGGCUAAAAGCUGAACUUCAAAACACCCUAAGCCAUUUUCACUCGGAACUUACACCAACAAUAUUACUUGGGUUACCAUAACCAUUGGCAUCACCGCAUCAGGGACAAUCAAACUACGGUUCUAGGAAUCACUACAUUGGCGCCGCAGAUUCAGUUUUCGUGGUAAAAUCCAAACUUCUUGGUUUUUGUAGCUUCGUUCCAUUUUAAAUUGCAAUGUGCUUGAAAUUUUGUUCUUGAUUGUGGAAGUACUAGUAAGGUACUUAACGCAGCAAGUAUGUUGUCGCCGAAGUUUAUCUGCAAUUUCUGCAUUACAUCCCCAUGAAAGUUAUGCAAUACCGAUUUCUCAUGAAGUGUCUCUCAUAUCAGGAUUUAUCAGCAGUGCAGUUGAAAGGUCUUCUAAAUGAAAAUAGGUCUUCUAAAUGAAAAUACUAAAACACUGACUUUCAUGAGCUUUCUUUACCAUCAUACCCAUUUCUCAGAGGAAAUUAGAGUUCAAUCCACUGCACUAGUGGCUUGACUAAAUUGUAAGCAUGGUGAAAGUGAAAAGUGUUCCGAUUGUGAACUUUGAACACUUGAUGAAUUUGAACUUCAAAUGUUGUAACAUUAAAGCACUACAAGAACUCUGUAAUUCCAUAACACAACCAAUUUGAGAGCUCCCAAGAAUAAUGAGGAACAUUUAGUCCAUAUACUGGACAUGGAUGCAUCUUGUGGUCAUAUACAUUUAAGAUUUAAGUAGAAAAGCAUAGCCCACCAAAGCCAGCAAAAUGAAAGGAAAAAAAAAAAAACUUAAUCAGUCAAAAGUUAUGCAAACUCACUGUGUGAAGCUGAACUUCAAGACCACUCACCCUAGCCAUUUUCACUACCACUCUAGCUUACACAAGGAUUUCAAUCCCAUACAAAAUCCCUAUCCCCUAGCACAAAAACACCCCGUACCCCUCCGGCCACCUCUACUCUCAUCAAGACCUCCACAUAGCCCUCGCGACAUCUCUACCAAUGCAUCCAUAAUGUCAUACAAUCAAAAACUACUCGAUCAAAAACCCCACAACCACCAUCUAACCCUGGAUAAGAGUUAUCCUUUGAAUAUUUUUGCCUUCCCUCUACUCUACUCUCAUCACACUCAUCUAUUACUAUUCCAAAUCGGCACUCAAAGCGUUACUACCCUCACCUAGUUUAUCCUUCAAAAACUCAUUGACUCACAACAUCCUCCCAUCCACCUUGAGCCAAUAUUCACAUCGCAAUCUUUGGCUUCUGUUCUCAUUGAUGACCAAAUCAUACUCAACUUAUGCCACUAAAACAUUCCAAUAAAAUAAAAACGAAUUCAUACACCACUCUUGCAAAACAGAGCAACAGUCAAUGCAAAACAUGUACAUUUGAAAUUGCAAGACACAUUUUACUUCCAGUAACAAACCUGCAAUUACAUGAUAAAAAAAAAAAAAAAAAAAAGUACGACUUUCGAACACAACCCUUCUUCCUCAAAUUCACAAUACACACAAUGUUCCAGUGUUACUUGCAAAUACAAAAUCUAAUUAAAAAGGAUUACUAGGGAGAAUCCCUAGUGUUACGGAGUCUAUAAACAAUUCGACCUCUAGUAGUAUCAUAACGACUAACCUCAACUUUGACUCUAUCCCCAGGCAAUAUCCUAAUGAAACUCUUUCGGAUUUUCCCAGAAAUGUAUCCUAUGAUGUUGUCCGCGUUGUCUAAUCGGAUUCGAAACAUACCAUUCGGGAGAGACUCAGUGACAAGACCCUCGGCGCUGAACUUCUGCUCCUCCACUUUGGGGGACUUGCUCAUGGCAACGAUGUUGGGACAACGUUUGGAGGUGAGGACCGAGGCUCCGAGGUGGAGUUGAGGUUUUGGGUUUGGUCGGAGUUUGAGAUAGUUUGGUUGGAAUUUGAGGGUUGGGGUUUUGGAGUGGAGGAUUGGGUAGUGGAGUGAGGAGGAAGGUGAUGAUGUGGAGGUUAACAUGGUGGUUGAUGGGUGAGGAGGUCUGGUUGCUCUGUGUGUGUUUUUGUGGGUGGAGACCGAGAGAGAGGAGAGAAAAAGGUGAAGGGAUUGGGUUGGGGAUUUAAGGGAGAUUCUUGAGAGAAUGCUGAGGGUAUUUCUGUACUCUCCACUGUUUCUUUAAGAUACUGUAAAUAAUAAACAACAGGCCAAAUAAGGUCACCACCGUUUUUAACAAAAAAAAUAAGGUCACCACCGUUUGUGUAUUUUCCACGGUUAUAGGUAUUUCAUGAUUGUUAAUCAGUAGUAGUGACCGUUUUUGUUUCCUGACUUUCACAUUAGGUUGUGGAUACUCAUUGUUUCACUCUCACAUACUUAUCUCAUGCAUGUAUGAUGUAUCUGAAUUGUGUUUAAUGCAAUGUAUUAUUUUUUACUUAAAAAAAAAAAAAUUAACAGAACUUCCGAUGCAACAUAUACUUCAACUAUUAAACAAUUGUGCAUUACAAGCCAUGGUGGAGAAUUUUGCCGAACUUGAGCACUAGGAUGGUGUCUCGGUUGCACCGGUUAAGAAGUUUGAUUCUCUCUUGACAUGUUUAAGACUAAAUCUAUGGCUUUGAGAUGCAAGAGAUUGCUAGUAAUCUGGAAUGUCUGUUCAUCUUGGCCGUAUCAAGGAAAUGAGGGCUAAGAAAAUGCUGACAACUUGACAUACUGUAAGUUCAUAGAGCUUACACACAAAAGCAGUCUUUGGAGCACAAACAACAUUUCCUUAUCCAAAAACGUCUGCAGAAUUCAAACAGAGCAAAACUAGCACAAGAGCAGAGCUUACAGGGUUGGCAUUUAUAAGUAAAGCUUACAAUUUGUUUUCGGACGCAAAAAAAUGCUCUAAAAAACAAGACUAAAAAGACAAAUAACAAAGGAAAAUAAAAUAGCAGGAAAUAGCGAAGUUGUCCAGUUCUAUUUAAAGUCUCCAUACUGACAGGAACUCAGUAUUGUGUGACAAGAACACAUGGUAAUUAGGCUUCAACCACAUUUUGGAACCUUCUUAUCACCCAACUCCCUCAACUUUUGAGGAAGAAAGCAACGACCCCCAAACUUCUGCUGCAAGAAGAUGAUCAUAGAAAACAGUAGAGCUCCCAUAGGAAUAAUGAUAUCCCAUGUAGUGGAGUAAAAUCCAGCCACAGGACUUGCAAAAACAUAUGGCUCUUCCAAGACCAAAUCAGAGCUGCCAGUCCUGUAAAGAUCAUAUGCGUGUGGCAGGAUUCGAAUGAUGGUUGUUCCGAUGUAGAAUCCAGCUGACAAAGCUUUUCCCUUUGAUUUGCAGACCAUGUUGAGUAGAAUUUGAGGAACCAGAAAGCCAUCCAACACCAAACCAGCAUAAGCACCAUAGUUACUUGAAUCCAAAAUGGGAUACUCUAGACUUGAAAUCAUCAGAAGCGCCAUAGCAGCUAAAAUCCCAAUCGCAUAUACUGAUACAGCCUUCUUCUCCGCAUCCCAAAGCUCCUUCAAGGUAUCUUUCGAAGAUCUUGCUGACCAUGUUUGCUGAAAAAGGCGGAAUUGCAACAAGAAAGCUAACAUUGUCAUAACUGUAAUUGCCAUCAGAUAUGCCUGAUCAAUUUGAAGCCAUCCAUCACUUCCAAUGAACAUGCCCUGGUGGUUGGUGCUAUAGUUGAAGAUGGCAUUGAAGUAAUAUAUGAGAGGUUUCAAGUACCCAAGGGUUAGAAUUAGCAGCAUCAGUAGUGAAAUUGAGGGAAGCAUAUCAGGACGUUUCUUCACAUGGAAGAGUUGUAAUGCCCCAAAAACAUAUGCAAGUGCGGUGGAUAUAAGAACCAAGGUUGUCUCCACCUCCAUCCUAUGAAUGGAUCGAUCUGCUUCAGCCAUGAACAUGUCAUCUGAAGACAAAUCCAAACGUUCAAAAUGAAGAGGAUCAGACUUUUUCCGUGUGCUUUCAAUGCUCCCCUUGACAUAACCUGAGAUCAUCCUCUCUGGAGUUGCUGGAGGUAACUGAAGUUUGAGUAAAAUCUCACAAUCAACAGAAUCAUCAGUUGACUGUUGAUUUAUUGGGCCUAUAUUUCGGCAGCCUACCAUGCACAUGCUUCCUUCUGUAUCAUCAUAGACCCCUUCAGCAGAUAUCACAUCUACAAUUGAUACAUUACUCACAUUGAUGAAUACAAUGAAGCUAACAUUAUAGGGGCCCCGCUGGUUAAAGGCAAGUGAGUGUGCAUCUUCAAUAUAAUGUCCCCAUUUAUAAAACCAAUUUCCUGCAGAAAGAGGAUAAGACCUGCCCCGAUCCACUUCGCUUUUAGAUCUUUUGAAAAAAAUUUGGAACCUCAUGUCAUAUAGAAAGGGAUUUGGGUAUACCUUGGUUUUGUAAUCAGUGGGAGCAGUGCUCUUCUCUCUGGGGCACAGCUUGGUUACCUUCUCAAUUUGGGUAUACUCAUAUUUCAGACCUGCAGGUUCAUAGACUGCAUCAUAAUUCAUAAGACUACCAAAUGUAAUAUUUUCAAAGUAACCCGACUCUACCACAGCUUUGUUGCUCCAAAUGUGUCCUGCAGCCUCUCUGGUAUCUCUGAUAGUCCAUAUUCCAGGAAACGUCAAGGUCAGUCUUGUAGAGCAAUCACCUACAUGAGAGUUGUUGAAUGAAUUUGUGGCAUCCAAGAAAUGACAGGCAACAACUUGUAGCUGAGUUUUGUUUACAUCCCAUGAUCCCUCCCCAACCAAAGUCGUAUUGGGAUUGAAAUUCUUCUCAUACCAGUGUUUUCUCUGGUCUGCAAAUUCUACCAGAACUCUCAACCUCCGAUUAUCUUCCAAACAUUCAAUGCCCCUUAAUGCAACAAUGCUAGGGAAAUAAGCAGACCCAGAAAGAGGAGUAGUGCAGUUCUUGGCAGAAAGGCAGUGGCUCGAGUACUGAAGAUAAUAUCCUGGUCUGCUCCUGAGAUUACAGAACAGAAAUUAUCCAUUUGCAAAGAACCUGUGGGAGCAGCACUUUCACCAGUGGAGCUGUUAUUAUCAGAUAUAUAUAUAUAUUAGAAACCAAAGUGUACUGAUAGUUCAUACGAGGAAGCAUCAAAACUGAGACUGGUUCAAAAUAAUUGGGUUGUUUCUGAGAACUCAUCAAGCUCUCCAGGGUUCCACUAAUCAAACUCGUAACACUAGUGAAAUUCAUGAGAUUAUGCAACUUGAGAAGAGCAGGAACAUCACUAAGCAGGUCACCUUGGUUUGAGUAGAUAGUACCUGAUCCAGCCAUGCAAAGCUUUCCAGAAGAUGAUGACCAGAAACCAUUCAGUGCAAAUCUUAUAGGACUUUGAGGCAGGCGGUUUUUAAGGGUUCCCAUGUGGUCAGUGUCUCUUUGAAAUUGAAGACUUCCGUGAACCUCAAGUAAGUCUUGUACAUCUGUUUCUUCAACACUCCAGACAUCAAACUCAACUGGAUAUGAUGGCUCUUGAUUGUGUUGAUAUCCUCUCUUUGGACUACGAAUGCCACUGCUACUGCCACCAGCAGCAUAAUAACCUGUAUGGCUAAGGACAGACGGAUCAAAACUGGCAUAUCUUAUUGGAAUUGAUUCAGGAACAGUUGAAGCACAAUGAUCAGCAUAAGACAGUAUAUCAGGUAUAGCAGAAGAUGAAAAUGAGUUCAAAGAUGCGGUGAAAACAAAGAGGAAUAUGAGAGGCUUUGGCACUGUGUACCACAUAUUUACAGAGGUGGUAGCAGAAAACUUAUACUCCCUGGACAUAGUUAUACUUUCUAUCUUCCCUCCUUUAAUAUAAGAAUGAUAAACGUUGUCUCAACUCUCAACUCUGAUAUUCUAACCCCUCCCCUAUGUUUUGUUGGUUAUGCAUUUAGCAUUGUCCUCAUUAAUCCGUAUUGGCUAAAGGGAUAAACUACAUUUCAAAUUAGCUUUUGUUUUGUCUGUCAUCAACUCAUCUGUAAAAUGGCUUCUCUACCAACUAAAACAAACAAAACCAAUGACUGUGAAAACAAAGCUCGAUUUUUCUUUUUCUUUUUUGGCAUUAAGGCAGAUUACAAAGAGAAAAUAACAAUAGUUUCUAUCAAUAUUGACUACAUUUCUUCUGUUUGAAUUUUUGGUUCAGUGUAACUAUUGUGUGAAUGAUCAUAUAAUCACCAAAUUACAACAACCAAUUGCUGCAAGAAACCAAAAAUUUAAACAAUUUGAUUCCUUAAUAUUAAACAAAAGCUAUAUAUACCUCAAGUUAUGUAAAUUGCUCUUCGUUCAUACAAAGAGAAUGUAAAUAACCAAUUUGAGACUAAUAACCAAAUCAAUAACCAACGUUUCACAGAAGAAUUCGGCUCACUAACCUCUAUUGUGGAAAAGAACACUAUAGUUAUGCUUCAGUUACUUUAGGAGCGUUCUCGUAUGCACCAGGAAGCCACCAUUGUUUAUACUGUAAUUACUAUUACUAUCGAUCAGUACUAUCCAUUAAGAUUGCUCCAAAGUAAAACAUUAGAGGUACUGGUUGGAAUUAGAGCAUUAACCCACAUGAAAAGUUGCAAUGCCCUGAAAACACAUGCUGGUGUGAUGGAUAUUAGAACCAAAGUGAUCUCCACCUCUGAUUUAGGAUGCAACCACAGCUGCGACCUUGCACCUUGCUCAUACUUGUCAACAAAGUUGAAAAGUGUAAUCUAUUUGAUUAGAAGUACUUGUAUGCCAACUGAAGUAUAAAAGUGUAACUCAUUUGAUUGUACCUGUGUAUUGCAUAUGGUGUAUAAAGUGCUAAUAUGUUUACUAUGAGUUCAUAGAGCCUGCCUUCUUUCUUCCGGGAACACAACAAUCACUUCUGAAGGACAGACACCAUUUUUCUAGCACUAAAAUAAAAUAGACAUCAAAAGGGAAUGCGUGAAAGCUUGCAGUGUGGACAUCAAAGACAGACAACAAUAAAUGGCAAAGGCUGACAUUUUAUUUUCGGACUGAAAACACCUAAAUGCACAAAAUAAGAAAUAACGAAACAAAAUAGCAGCAAACAGUGGAGUAGAACAAUUUCAAAUGAAGUCUCCAUACUGACAGAGCAUCCACUGAUGUGGAAUGAUCAGAAAUGGAGUUAUUUGACAAGAAAAUAUAGGCAAUUAGGCUUCAAGAACUUUCAGGACCUUCUCAUAUGCACCCAACUCUCUCAACUUCUUAGGAAGAAAGCAACGGCCCCCAAACUUCUGCUGUAAGAAGAUGAUAACACAAAACAGUAGAGGUCCUAUAGGAAUAAUGACAUCCCAAUCAGUACAGUAAAAACCAGUCCCAGGUCUUGCAAAAACGUAUGGUUCUUCCAAGACAAAAUCAGUGUUGCCAGUCCUGUAAAGAUCAUAUGCAUGUGGUAGGACUCGAACAAGAGUUGUUCUAAUGUAGAAUCCAACUGACAGAGCUUUUCCCUUUGAGUUGCAGACCAUGUUGAGUAAAAUUUGAGGAAACAGAAAGGUAUCCAACGAUAAACCAGCAUAAGCACCAUAGCUGCUUGAACCCAAAAUGGGAUGCCCUUGAGGACCUGAUUUCAUCAGAAGCGCCAUAGCAGCUAGAACUCCUAGGGCAUAUACUGAUAAAGCCUUCUUCUCCACAUCCCAAAGCUCCUUAAAGGUUCCAUUUGCAGACCUUGCUGACCAAGUUUGAUGCAAAAGGAGGAAAUGUAACAAGAAAGCUAACAUUGUUAUUACUGAUAUUACCAUCAGAGUUCCCAGAUCAGUUUGAAGCCAUCCAUCACUUCCUAUGAACGCGUGUUGGUAGUCGGGGUCAUAGGUGAAGAUGGCUUCAAAGGAAUACAUAACAUGAAUCAUGUAGCUAAGGAUUAGAAUUAGCAACAUCAAGAUUGAAAUGGAGGGGAUCACACCAGGACGUUCCUUCACAUGGAAGAGUUGUAAUCCCCCAGAGAGGCAUGCAAUUAUGGCGGAUAUAAGAACCAAGGCAAUUUCUACCUCCAACCUCUCAUGGGAUUAAUCUGCCUCAGCCAUAUACGCGUGAGGUGAAGACAAAUCCAAACGCUCAAAAUAAAGAGGAUCAGGCUUGUUCCGUGUGCUUUCAAUGCUUCCCAUGAUAUAACCUGAGAUCUUUCUCCUUGAAUUUGCUGGAGGCAACUGAAAAUUGAGUAGAAUCUCAGUCUACAGAAUCCUUUGUCGGCUGUUGAAUUAUCGGGCCUAGAUUUCGACAGCCUACCAUGCACAAGCUUCCUUCUGUAACAUUAUAGACCCCUUCAGCAGAUAUCAUAUCCGUAAUUGAUAGAUUACUCAAGUUGAUAAAUACGAGGAAGCUCAUAUUGUAGGAGGUGCUGUGGUCAUAUGCAUCUUCAACUGUAUAUGUUCCAGGUCUGUACAGCUGAUCUCCAACAGAAAGAGGUAAAGAAGAGCCCCAUUCCACCUCCCUUUUGGAUUUUCUAGAAAACAUAUGUAAUCUCAUGUCAUCAAAAAAUGGAUUUGGAUAUAUCUCAGUGUUGUAAUCAACAGUGAUCUUCUCUCUGGGGCACAACUUGGUUACCUUCUCAAUUUGGGUAUCCUCAUAUUUCUGAUGAAAGUUGAACACUUCCAUCAUAAGGCAUAAGACUACCAAAUGUAAUCUUUUCGAAGUAACCAAACUCUGCCGUAGCUUUGUUGCUCCAAAUGUAUCCUGCAGCGUUUCUGGUAUCUCCAAUCGUCCAUAUUCCAGGAAAGGUCAAGCUGAUGCUUGUUGAGCAAUCACCCACUCUAGAAUUGUUGAUUGAAUCUAUCGCAUCCAAGAAAUGACAAGCAACAACUUGUAACUGAUUUUUCUAUGCAUUCCAUGACCCCUCCCCAACCAAAGUUGCAUUGGGAUUGAAAGUCAUCAUAUACCAGUGUUUUCUCCAGUCUGCGAAUUCUAUCAGAACUCUCAACCUUCGGUUAUCUUCCGAGCACUCAAUACCCCCUAGUGCCACAAAGCUAGGGAAAAUUCCAGAACCAGAAAGUGGUGUACUGCAAUUAUAUGCAGAAAGGCAAUGGCUCGGAUAUUGGAGAUAAAAUAUUGGUACUACUCCUGAAAUUACAGAACAAAAUUUAUCCAUUUGUAAAGAACCUGCAGGAACACCACUUUCACCGGGAGACCUGUUACCAUCAGAUUCAUUUGAAACCAAAGUGUACUGGUAGUUCAUACGAGGAAGCAGCAUAAUAGAGAUUGGUUCAAAAUAACUUUCUGACUCGUCAAGCUCUCCAAGGUUCUAUUUAUCAAACUUGUAACACUAGUGAAAUUCAAGAGAUUCUGCAACUUGAAAAGAGCAGGAACAUCGUUGAUCAGAUCACCUUGCGUCGAGUAAAUAGAACCUGAUCCAACCAUGCAAAGCCUUCCAGAUAGUUCUGACCAGAAUCCACUGAGUGCAAAUCUUAUUUGAGUUUGGGGCAGCUGAUUUGCGACAUUUCCCAUGUGGUCAGUGUCUGGUUGAAAUUGAAGGCUUCCCUGAACCAUGAACAAGUCUUGUACAUCAGUUUCUUUAACACUCCAGGCAUUGAACUCGAUAAGAUUUGGGGGCAUGUGAUUAGGUAGAUAUGAUGGUUUUGGACUACGAAUUCCAUUGCCGCUGCCACCACCAGCAUAGUAACCUGUAUGGCUACGGACAGAGGGAUCAAAACUGGCAUAUCUUGUUGGGGUAGAUACAGGAACAGUUGAAGCACAAUGAUCAGUAUAAGAGAGUUUAUGAUGUGUAGCAGAGGAUAAAACUAAGUUCAAAGAAAAUGUGGUGAAAACAAAAAGGAAUAUGAGAGGCUUUGGGAGUUUGUACCACAUGUUUAAAGAGGUGAUAGCAGAAAACUUAUACUUCCUGAAGAAGUUAUAGUUUCUUUCCUUAUUUAUAAUGGAAAUGGAUGAAGUACAGUAACAAGAACAAAAUGCAAUGCCAUGUCAAAUUACAGUGAUACUAGUAUUUAACAUUGUCUGUACUCUAAUAAUUUGAUCCCUCUCCCGAUAUUCCACUUAGCAUUGUUGGUAAUUUCGUAUUAUACCGUUUCAUUACAAGACUAUUGAUUAAAAAAAGAUGAACUAUAUUUCAAUGUUAAAGAAAUAAAAAAAAAAGAAAAAGUAAAACAGUCAAAACCUAGACCUAGACUCUGAAAACAAAGCUAAAUAUUGUUUUUUUAAUGCGUAAAAGGGAUAAAGAUGAUUGCGUUGUAGGAAAGAAAUAUAUUGGACCUCUCAUAACCAAAGAAAACAACAAAAGCCAAGACUGAGAAUACAAAGAUCUACUUUUGGUCUUUUCCCUAAAAUGGAUAAUUCUGCAGAGAAAAAGUAAAGGAAACAAUUCAGGGAAAUAAUAAUUGCACUCAGAAACAAAUAUAUUCUCAAGGCGAUAACCAACAUUGCAUAUUCCACUCUCUCUGGCCAAAGGCUAUUGACAACAUCAAUGUAUAUCUACCUGCAGGGUAGUCAUAACUAUGUUGAGGAAAUUAAUAAAGCAUACCUGUAUCAAAGAUAUUCCUCUGGAAAAGAACAAUCCCAGAUAAUAUUGCCAAGAACAAGCUAGAAGCCAAUGAGACAGAUGCUAAGAACAAGUCAUAGAAUUUAAAAAAGGUUAGAAAGUUGACCUCAAUCCGAUACCAUUCUGCUAACUUCUAAUGCAUUCUACUGCCAUAGAACUAUACACAAGGAAAGAACUUUUGUGAUCUUGGGCCACAUGAUUGGCUUAUUACCGACAUAAUCAAAGAGAAUUGAUCUUACAAACACCAUAAGACAGAAAACUAACUUCAUGUUCACUAUAUAGCAUUUACAAUAGUUGAUUCGGAAAGAGGUGCCAAACCUUGGGUCAUACCAAAUUUAAAAGAGAAAGAUACAUAGAGAAAAUAACCUUUUAAUGAAAAUGAAUCAAUCCAAAAUUCAGAUAGAAAUAGGCUAUUGUCAUGUUCGGUAUCAACAUUAAAUUUCAUUAAGGAGUUCUAUAAAUCUUCAAUGUAAUGCAUACCAAUUCAAUAAACUGGAAGACAUAAACUACAUCAAUUUGUGUAUUUAUAUAAAGGGGUAAAUACGAAAUCACUUCAGAGACAUAAAUUUGAUUUACUUUGCUAAUAAAAGGGAAAAGCCUGCAUUUUGAAGAGAAAAAAAGAAGACUAAGAACUAUCCAGACCUUUGUAUCAGGAAUUCAGGAUUUAAGCACUACUUAGCCUCAGCAACAGGAUAUGAUACAAAUUUCUGACCAAAAGCCUAGAUGCUUAGCAUAAGAAAGAAAAUAACUGAAGCAUAUAAUGACAGAGCAUCCACAAGCAUACAAUGACAGAACAUCCACGUGUAAUGAAUUACCAGAAGUGGAGUAUUAUUCGACAAAACCCUUAGGUGGUUACUGGUUAGGCUUCAAUUACUUUUGGAAUUUUCUCAUAUGCACUCAACUCUCUCAAGCUUUCAGGAAGAAAACAACGACCACCAUACUUUUGCUGCAAGAAAAUGAUGACCGCAAACACUAGACCUCCAAUAGGAAUUAUGGCAUCCCAAGUAGUGGAGUAAAAACCAACAGAAGGAAUUGCAUAGAUGAACGGCUCUGCCAAGACCCAACCAGAGAUGUGAAUCCUGUAAAGAUCAUAUGCAUGUGGCAGGACUCCAACAAAAGUUGUUCCAGAAUAAAAUGAAACUGGCAGAGAUUUUUACUUCAAUUUUCUACUUCAGCUGUAUUUCGUUGCUUAUAUGAUUAACUAUUACAGUUUAAAAAAUUAUGAAAGUAAAAACAAUACAACUAAAAAUCACAAAUACCAAUUGCAGCAAGAAAACAAAAGAGCAAUCAAUUAAUGAACUGACCAUGAUAUUGGAAUGCUAACAGAAGAUCAGCAGCUAUAGUCUGGUUAUCCUAAUGAGAAUGUAAACGACACAAUGAGAUGAAUGUAGAUGCAUACCGUAGGAGACAUUACCUUGUACAGCAGUGUGAAAGCACUGCAUAUCUGGGUACUUGGCGUCGUGUAUAUAGAUAUUUUAUAAUACCUCCACCAAUGUAUGUACUGUCAUUUUAUAAUUGUUUGUAUACUAUUGUUUCUUCAAGUUGAAUUGAAAGUGAACCAUAAGAAAGUGUUACAAAUUACAUCGUUUAUUUGACUUCCAAAUAAAGAUUUGCUAACCCAAGAACACUGAAACAAACUGGUGAAUGUUUGUAUUUUGGUUAUUUGGUAACUUGUCAUUUUAGGAACAGACAAAACCCAAGAUCGCAAAAACAAAGAUGAAUUUCGUAUUUUGGUUAUUAGGUAACUUGUCAUUUUAGGAACAGACAACCCAAGAUUGCGAAACAAGGAUGAAUUUUGUAUUUAGCCUGAAAGCGAUAUAGAAGAAGGGUAAAUUGCAGGAAAAAAACAUGGGGAAACAACGAAUGCACUCCGAACCAUGUUCUUACACUUAUGUCACAAAGCGCAUGAAAUUACAUGUGGAGGUGAAUAUCCAGAAAGAGAAACAAGUAUCACAAAAGAAAAAGGGUAUGGCCUAAUUUUCUUGUUCAAGUUUUCUAUUCCGGUGGGAAAAAUGAUGAAAUCAAACACCAUGAAGCCAUCAAUUCCAGGAAGAAAAAUAAACAUUCAAUCACCUUGAUCUUAAAAAAUGCUAACAGAAUGAGAGUCUAAAUAACACUAAGCAACUAAUGGGCAACAUUGCAUGUGCAACUUGAUCAAAUUUAGAGGCUUUCAUCUCAACACCCAUAUAAAACUUGAAUCAAGAUACUGCCUGAUCCUGAAAGCAUUAAACUAAUGACAAUGAGUAACAGUAAUUGAAAUAAAAGCAUAAUUGUGUGAAAGAUUUUAAGAGAGAAACCAAGAAAGCCCAAAAAUUUAAUCAGCAAGAAAAAGCUGAGCCUUCUAGUUUUGCUUCGCUCUGUAGGCUGCGGUUCCAGGAGUGUAGAAUAUUGUGAACUUCGGCGUUCCAAAUUUCUUAUUCGCUUUAUGGGUUGGUUUUUCCAUUUUUUCGUUUCAUACAUUGGCCCUUUUUAUUUAUUUUUAUUAAAAAUCAAGAAUGAGAUCCAGCUGGAACAUAACUAGACAGACUUAGCCGUUAAAAAAAAAAAAAAAAGAAAGUAAGGUAAAGUAAAUGCUUGUGACACUCUGUAGUUUACACCUAAAAUCAGUUUUGUCCCUCAUUUUUUUUUUAAAACUGGUAUACCCCUAUACUUUGAAUUCUCGACUGAUUUACCAUUUUCUCAGCUGGUUAUGACUGUGACAUGCUUAUUAACAAUGCUUGUGAGAGCUUCAAUGGCUGGGUUUUGAGAGCAAGGUCUAAGCCCCCUAUAUAUUACUAUGCUAGAAGAGAUAAGAGUGAAGGGUUAUUUAGACUGUUAAUGAGCAUGUCACAGUCAUAAUCAGCUGGAAAAAGGGCAAAUCAGUCGAGAAUUCAAAGUAUAGGGGUAUACCAGUUUUAAAAAAAAGUGAGGGACAAAACUGAUUUUAGGUGUAAACUACAGGGUGUCAUAAGUAUUUACUCCAAAAAAAAAAAAACUAAGACAGACUUGCAAUGACUCCGCUGUACGUGGACCUAGAGAGAGAGAGAGAGAGCAACAAAAUCAAAUGAUCUUACAUGCAAUGGAUGACGCAUCCCAAAUUAAACAUGGAACGCAACAUAUUUGAAUCAUUCAACCUUGCAUCUCUCCCACCCAAAUUAAAAAUGGAAAGCAACAUAUUUGAAUCAUUCAACCUUGAACUCGAAUCAUUCAUUUAGAUCUCUUAAUCUUAUCCAAGUCGGAUCUGGGUGUGGCCUUCUUUGACUUGUGUGAUGGGUUAUUUUUAACUUUUGAAUUCUUGUGAGUACGUUUUUCACAGAUUAAGAAGAAGAGAAGAAAAAACUAGAUUAAUUAAAGGAAACUCGGCAUUUUAGACUUCAUAAACAAAUAAUAAAUCUGAUUUGCUCUCUUUUCUAUUAAAUAAUAAUUAAUUAGCUUAAUUAAGUUUUACUAUACAUGUGUUCCUUUCCCUAUGACUAUUAAUAUAUGCUGGUUGAAAAUUUUGAAUCACAUGAUCAUAAUCAUGCAUGUUAUCUUUAAUAUUAUAGAAAAUUAUAGUAUACCAUAUGGUAUAACAUGUCUCAUAAAAUAUAUGAAGCUAUUAUUGAUCGAAAAUAAAAAAAACAACUAAAUGACCAUAUAAUGACUAUUUACCCAUUCAAAAGCCUCUAUGUACCAUAUAAUUUAUACAAUUAGACACAUUUGUAAUAGACAUGUCAUACCAUAUGAUAUAGUAGCCAAACCCCUAUAUUAUAUGUUGGAAGUCCUCGAUAGUAGUUGCAAAACUUGGAGUAGUCUGGUGUAGAGACCGAGAUCCAAAAAUGGGAACAAGAUUGGCAAGAGUGGAAGGUGUUUCAUCAUCAUCAACUGGCAAAACAAUCAAGAUUCCUGUUCUGGGUUUAGGAACUGCAGCAUAUCCUUUUGUUGCCUCUCAAACAGCCAAAGAAGCCAUUCUGAAUGCAAUCCAAGUUGGCUACAGACAUUUUGAUACCGCUGCUGUUUACCAGACGGAGCCAGUUCUCGGUGAAGCCAUCGCCGAAGCUCUUUCGCUUGGCCUCGUCGAAUCCCGGGAUGAGCUUUUCGUUACUUCCAAGCUUUGGUGCCCCGAUGCACAUCCUCACCUUGUCCUCCCUGCCAUUCACAAAACGCUCAAGUAACUCAUCCAUCCAUUCAUUUGAUUUUAUAGCCUUAGCUGUAUCUUUUGGAUUAAUAUAUGUCUAGCUAUAUUCCCUGCAGGAAUCUUGGAUUAGAAUACCUAGAUUUGUAUCUCAUUCACUAUCCGGUGAGUUUGGAGCCAGGAAGCUAUGACAUACCAGUUAGGAAAGAGCAUCUUCUUCCUAUGGACUUGAAGUCUGUGUGGGAAGCAAUGGAAGAGUGCCAGAAGCUAGGCCUCACCAAGUCCAUAGGAAUCAGCAAUUUCACAUGCAAAAAGAUCGAUAUGUUGCUUGCCACUGCAAAAAUCCCUCCUGCAGUCAACCAAGUAAUAUUAAGUAGUUUGAUUUACGUCUCAGCUGGUUUAUUCUUUGGUUAAUUAGAUAACUGCAUGUAUGCUUAAAUUGGUUACAUAAAUUUUGGAAUCAAUUAAGGUGGAGAUGAACCCGCUAUGGCAGCAGAAAAGGCUGAGAGAGUUUUGUGAAAGAAAAGGUAUAAUCAUCACUGCCUACUCUCCGUUGGGAGCAAGAGGGACACCGUGGGGAUCAAAUGGAGUGAUGGAAUGUGAGACUCUCAAACAGAUUGCUGAAGCAAAAGGAAAAACUCUUGCUCAGGUACAUAUACGAGAUCAAAUUCAGUAGUACAUGCUACCUAAGUUUCUGAUACCAUCAUUCAAACCGAUUAAGUCCCUCGUUUUAAUCGUAACUUUGGCUUAAAUUUUUUCAUGGGGAUCUUGAUCAUCAGGUUUGUCUGAGAUGGGCAUAUGAGCAAGGGGUGAGUGUGGUGGUGAAGAGCUUUAACAAGGAGAGGAUCAAAGAAAAUAUGGAUAUAUUUGAUUGGGAGCUGCUGCCUGAGGAACUGGACAAGAUCGAUCUGAUUCCACAAAAGAGAGGAUGCCUCUCAACCGACUUCGUUUCAGAACAUCAUGGCCCUUUCAAGUCUCUUGAAGAGCUUUGGGAUGGAGAGUAAGUGAUCGAUAUUAUAGUCUCAGUCAAUUACAAUAUAUUGAUCAAACCGUGAUCGAUCGAGAUUCAUUAAUCCUCAAUACAGUUGUCGUUAGUACUUGUUUUUUCUAAUCAGAUCCAACUUUUGUUCGAUAAUGCUCGAAGCAAUAAGUAUGUCAACAUUAUAUAGAUGUAUAUGUUUAUCUUUUGUUUAUAUUGAUGCGAGUGACUGUUAAUGCAUCUAAUUGUAGUCAUUUUAUAAUGCUGGUGAUAUUAUACGCUCCUAGUUAAAAAGUUAUUCCAAAUUUGAUUGGCCGUUAAUAUCUGACUUUCCGCACAAGCAACCUAAAAUAUCCAAAAUAACAAGGCGAAUAACAACUUCUUCAGUAUUCUAGCAGCUAACAACCUCAUUAUUCGUGAAUUACAUGUUCUCGUCCUACAUCAUUUCUAUUGUUCUAACUGAUAAAUCUUUUGUUUUUGACAAUAUACUGAUCAAUUAAACUUGUAACACCUUCUAAAAAAAACUUAUAUAUAUAUAUAUAUAUCAGGCCAGAUAUGGAGCGGACGUCCGUACUGGGCUUAAAGUGCGGAUGUCCCUCCGUUCGUCACCAUCCGGUGCCGGCAACGGCGCUCCUCCACCCAAGUGGACACCAGAGGGGUCCCUGACCACUUUUCUUUCCCGGCGAGAUCAAUGUGAAGGUCUGAGCAGCAACCUCCACCCAAAACUUCAGACAAGGUCGAUUUCGCCGGAAAACUGGAAUUCGGCAGACUCGCCGGGAAGGGAAAGUGGUAGGGGAUGCCUCUGGUGUCCGCUUAGGUGGAGGCGCACCGUCGUCAGCGCCGGACGGUGGAGAACGAAGGGACGUCCUCACUUUAAGGAUUACUUUAAGGAUUAAUGACAGUGCGGACGUCCACUUCAUAUAUAUCGUUUUGAUGUAUAUAUAUAUAUAUAUAUAUAUAUAUAUUAAUAACUAUUAUACAAUAUACUAUUUCCGUCGGGGUGGUGCUGUUCACUUGCUACAGUUGUUUCAUUGUUUAUAAGAAACAGUAUUGGGCCUUUGUGUUGGUAUUUUUUUUUCACUCNNNNNNNNNNNNNNNNNNNNNNNNNNNNNNNNNNNNNNNNNNNNNNNNNNNNNNNNNNNNNNNNNNNNNNNNNNNNNNNNNNNNNNNNNNNNNNNNNNNNNNNNNNNNNNNNNNNNNNNNNNNNNNNNNNNNNNNNNNNNNNNNNNNNNNNNNNNNNNNNNNNNNNNNNNNNNNNNNNNNNNNNNNNNNNNNNNNNNNNNNNNNNNNNNNNNNNNNNNNNNNNNNNNNNNNNNNNNNNNNNNNNNNNNNNNNNNNNNNNNNNNNNNNNNNNNNNNNNNNNNNNNNNNNNNNNNNNNNNNNNNNNNNNNNNNNNNNNNNNNNNNNNNNNNNNNNNNNNNNNNNNNNNNNNNNNNNNNNNNNNNNNNNNNNNNNNNNNNNNNNNNNNNNNNNNNNNNNNNNNNNNNNNNNNNNNNNNNNNNNNNNNNNNNNNNNNNNNNNNNNNNNNNNNNNNNNNNNNNNNNNNNNNNNNNNNNNNNNNNNNNNNNNNNNNNNNNNNNNNNNNNNNNNNNNNNNNNNNNNNNNNNNNGAAAAACGGGUUGAGAAACUCCAAGCAUUCAAAUGCUCCACCACAAUUGAUCAGUGUAUGAAAUUUUCGACAUUUUUAUGCUGUUUGGAACAACAUUAAUGAAAUUAAUGGAAAAAAAUAAUCCAAAAACACAUAAACAAAAAAAAGAACAUUGAUGAAAUUCGAAGUACUAAAAUCAACAAGAACAUAGGUGCAUAGGUGCUAAAUUACAUCCCACUUUAAAAGUACUAAACAUCCCACAUUAAAAAUUAACCCUCAAACAACAACUAAAAAUAUCCAAAAUCACACAAGCAAAAAAAAAGGAACAUGAAUGAAAUUAAAAGUAUUAUUUUAGACCAAAUUAAGUGUGGUUGAGUGCAUUGUAACACCAUGCAACCUAAAAAAUCAAGUAUAAAAUGAAUAAAAUCAAGUAUUGUAAUAUUACGGGACGGGACGGGAUUUUUCGGGAUAGUCCCGUCCCGUCCCGUUAUGGUAAUGUUAAAACGGGACGGGACGGGACGGGAUUGCUAUUUUCAAAACCUAUCUCGUCCCGUCCCGCUAACUUUCGGGACGGGACCGGUACGGGAUCGGGAUUCCGGUACUAAGUGCCCAGCCCUAGUUUUGGCUCCAAAGUUUCCCUCCGAGUAUAUAUUCUGUUGUGUGAAAAAGUUAGACAAAUUUAAUAACGUACCCACCAACCCUAAACGAUGUCUCACACUCUCACUCUCUCGCAUUCAUAUUGCUGUCUCUCUCUCUCCCGCAUUCAUUCACCAUAAACCCACCAAACAGAUCGACUCUCAACUCUCACUCUCAAACAGAUCGAGACUCUCGCCUUCUCACUCUCAACGGUAAGCCCUCUCUCUCUCUCUCAAUGUUGUCUCAACUCUCACUCUCUCGCCUUCUCUCUCAACUCUGUCACUCUCUCAGCUCUCUGGGUAAGUGGGUAACUCCCCGAAAGCACCUGCACAAAAACAAACCUCUAGUCUUUAGUCAAAGCAACCUCAAAGCAUCCCCCUUUGCAAUUUCUCAAUCAAUCAUAAAUCACCCACUCUCAGUCUUUGAUUGAAUUAUGCAGUCCAAUUAAACCCCAUUUUCCGUGAAACCUUUUCUGUACUGAAGUCAAUGGCCUUUUUCGGAAUACACGCAAAUUUGACAAUUCCUCUCCACCCUUUUCUCCUCUAGACCCAAAUCGCACAACCCAUCUCUCAAUUUCCAUUAGCCCCACUAUGUUCAGCUCAACUCCCACCUGGGUUCUCACCUUGGUCUUGUUCUUGAGCUUCUUCUCAUCCUACCAAGCUGUUGUGGAAGACGACUUCAAGUGCCUUCAGGGGAUUAAAGAAGCUUUCAAGGACCCUCUUGGGAAGCUCGAGUCUUGGGACUUCUCCAACUCCUCUGUGGGCUUCGUCUGCCACUUUGUGGAUGUUUCUUGCUGGAACGAUCGCGAGAAUCGAAUCUACAAUCUCGAGCUCAGGGACAUGUCUCUAUCAAGUACGAUUCCCCAGUCGAUUGAGUACUGCAUUAGCUUGACGAAUCUGGAUCUUGGAGGGAAUGACCUUAAUAGACAGAUACCUAAAGAUUUGUGUUCCUGGUUGCCGUAUUUGGUUACUCUUGAUUUGUCCGGGAAUGAAAUCACGGGUCCAAUCCCAGUUGAUUUGAGUAACUGUACUCUCUUGAAUAAUUUGAUUCUUUCAGAUAAUAAGCUUUCGGGGAGUAUUCCUUGGAGUUGUGAAUUUGGUGGGUAUUAAGAAGAUUUCUAGGUAAGUGGGUAUUAAGGCUUUGCAGUCGAUCUAUUGAAUAUGGUGGAUUUGACACUACUCAUGCUACUUCUAGGUGAACCCUACCGGAGAACUGAAUCUCGGCCGUAGCUCCUGGUUUUCAUAAUUGUCGUUGCUUUCCGGUUCCUCUAUAGGUUGCUGAAACAAUUAAAGAAGGUACCAAAACUCGAUUUCAUAGUUCGUGCAAUUUGAUGCUUCAAUGCUGAACUGGAUUCAUUUUCAUGUUUUCUGAAAGUUCUAUUAUGAUGAUAUUGGUGGUUUGGGUGGUUUUGUUGUUGUCAGAGAGGACCAAAGACUACUCUCGGUUGUAGUUUCUACAUAUUAAUAGAUGGGAUCCAUGUGGUUUUGGCUUCUUAAUGUACGUAUGGGACCAAAUACUCAGAAAUAUUGGUUUAUCUUAUUUUUCCUGUCUAGUUUUAUGCAAGUUGAACUUACUAAUUUAAGAUUGGAGCAUUGGAUUUAAUGUAGAAUAGCUGGGUUAGGGAGAGCAUGCAUCUUCUCACCAUAUGUAAUAAGAUACAUUUUUUGUAUGGUUUGUAUAUACUAGAGCAUAGCUUGUUAAUCUAAUAUGUGUAGCUGAGCAUUGUGUUUGUUGUUGAAUUGUUGUUCUUUAACUUGAUCGAACAACCCAAAAUUCAGUUAUUUCAACUACAUGUCCAUAGUUCUCAAAUGUUGGUUAGAAGUGGGUGUUGGACCUGUGACAUAACAUUGCAGGCCUUUGGCUUUUGUUUUAGUUUCGCCGAAUGUAAUACCUCAUGGCGACUGAGAAAAGUGACAGCUUGGAAAUUGAGCUGUUAUCAUGCCCAGUAUACUAUGAACUGCUAAUUUGAAAAGGCCCAACUGGUCUCAAGUUAUGAGUACUCUAGUUAGUUGUCAAUACUUGUUGAAUGUAUGUUUAUAAGUUUGGUUCUAAAUUUUUUUUCUUUAUAAUUACAUUUGAUAUGGGGCUGCUAUUUUCUGUAGUUGAGCAAUGGCACUUAAGAGAAUAAGAGGUAUAUGCAUCAGGUUUCAUGCAUAAAGACAACAAUGUCAAAUGUGAUGUUGGUAAAACAAAAUAAUUUGGUAUAUACAUAAGGUAUUUUUUUCCCCAGCAUUUCUUAAGUUAAUCCGUUGGUUACUAUUUUUGUAAGUUAUUUGGGAAUGAUUAUCAUAGGUUCAUCUGCGUUUGACAUUUCAAAUAUCUGGUUUUAUUGAGUAUCAAAGAUUGUGAAAGUUUAGUGAGAGGCUAGGGUUUGGGAUUUGGAUCUACUAUACUAGCUAAGAUAAAAAAAAAAAGUAUUGCAUUUUUGGUAAUAUGUCAAAGAUGUUUUGACACACCUGACUAGCAUUGGUAUCACAUAUACCUUGUUUGCUUUUAUACAAUAAAUUAUGCUUUCCUAUAUGUAAUUGAGGUUGUUCUCAUUUUCUGCCACUGAUUUAUAGUUCUAUUACACCCUUUUCCUUGUCCUGCUUUCGUAUUUAUCAAUCUCUCGCUUGUCUCGUGCUGUAGCCAUUUCCAGUUCUCCCAGAUCCCCUGCUGCUGUACACGUACGUGGAAGUAUGUGGGUGAAAAUUUAUUUUGGUGUUUACAACUUCUAUUGGAAUUUUCCUUUGUAUAUGUCUGAUAGGCUACAUUGUGUUGAAUCAAUCAUGGCAAUUAAACAGAAGAUAGGGUAAGAAGACGAAGGAGACAAAUAAGAUUUGAAGCUGAAGCUAGAGCCAUUUCAGUUUCUCCCAGAUGCUUAGCUGAUGAACAUGAAUAUUAUACUUCCCAAAUGAGCAAUUUCAGGUCGGACAAGCCAUUUCUUGAUAUCAGAAUUCCAGCCAAAACCUUGUCCUUUCGUGUUAAGCUUUUCUUAAUUCCAUAUAUAUAAUGAGAGAAAUGAACGAGUUUGGGCACUAUUACAGGUUUGUUGCUAGGUACACAUUUGUAAUGCAGGCGAUAAUGUACUUAGCUAGGCUCUUUAUCAUAUAAUGAGUUUGAGGAUUGUUUCGCAUUUUAAUCUAAUAAGUUCUCAUCUGUUUGCCGCUUGUUUUGGCCCUCUUGUUUAAGUUCAAUGCUAUUGAAAAUGCUGGUCAGUAAAUGAAUGGUAUUAGUACCUGCUGGUCUUGGUUGCUACACAAUGGUGUUAAAUACAUGUUAGCUUGAGUAUUCCUUGCUUAAGAUUUUGAUACCAUUUUAUUAACAUGAGCAGGAAACUGUUUAGGGUCGUCACAUGUGUCAAGUCAUGAUGGCUCUUCUGAAUUGUAGUAAGUGGCUACGUAUUUCUUGUUUUGUAGUGUUUCGUUAAAAUCUGAAAGUCUAGAUUGCCAUACAAUACCAUUUUUGUUUUGGGAAUUAGAUAUUGGUUAUGUAAUUGAAAGCUUAAAGUAAGUGUCUUCCUUACUCUUUACUUCAUCUUAUAUAUAUAUGUGUGUGUGUCUAUAUAAAUUUCUUUACCCUAAAUGAAAUCUGAAAUGAACCUGUCACUUUUAUAACCUUUUAUGUUCUAGCUCUAUCAUAUUCCGAUGUAAUCAAGAUUUAAGUAGUUGUAUGUUUUUUUCAAGUACUUUCCCCUAGACUUGGUAGAAUUUUGCCUUAUUUGAUAUCAAGGAAGCAUAUAUGUUGCAGCUACAGGUAUAGAUAUCUAUUCAUAUAGCUACUGUUCUGUACAUAUCUCAUCACCUUACUCUAAGAGGACACAGUCAUUCAACCAUCAAUUUGAUAUAAUUCGACUUUCUCUGCAUUGAAAGCUAAUGCAACUGGAAGGAACUUCAAUUUGACAAGGGAAUUUCCUUGUGAUCUAGUAUUUGGAUAUGGUGUGAUUCUCUUGCUGUUUUGUGUGGAUAUUGAUUUGGUUUUGGUCAUUGUUUAUGCCGUAAUACUCACUUUGAGGAUAUAGGUAUUGACUCUGAGUAAAUAUUUGAUAUUCAUUGGUAUGUUAAUAUCAUUUCAUUCGCUAGAUGUAUCUCAUAUCAUUGAUAUGUUAGACUAAAAGUGAGCAAAGAUUAGGGUUACCCUUCUUUACUCCUUAGAAAUUUGAACUACUAUUUGAUAUCUCAUAUCAUAGAUGUAUCUCAUAUCAACUACUAUUUGUGUUUGUGUUGGGAAUCAGAUUUUCGGGAUAAUGUCAUGUUCAGGUCUAACUUUAACAUUAUGUUUUUCAGUGGGACAAGAGAAACAAACUUGUCUACACCCAAGAUGAUUUGGAUGUGUUAAGGAAUGAGUGGGCAAAGUUCAUCAUCAGCAAAUACCUGUAGGGUGCAUGAUCUGGUUUGUUUUGGUGAACUUGGUGCUUUCUAUAUGUAUGUGGUAGUACUUUGCUUUUGAACUUGGUGUUUCUAUAUAUUCGGAACAACUAUAUGGUAGUAUGUACUUUGUGCAUUUCUCAUGUUGGAAUGCUUUUGAACAUGUAAGACUAUCAACGAGCUUAACUAGUUGCUUGUUUUCAGUUUAUUAUUUAGCUGUAAUGUUUUUUGUGGAAGCUUAAAUGAUAUAUAUGGAAGCUGAAAUGCAAUGUUUUAUGGUAUCAGUCAAUUUGUGCAGCAGUUUCUUUUGUGAUGUUUGUGUGAGUAAAACUUGGACAACAAAGUCUGUCCACAUGAAAAUGCAACUGUUGUAUGAUUCUCAUCAAACAAGAAAGCAGAAUGCUAUAUCUAUUGUGUGAUACAAAGGUCCAAAUAUUUCAGUUGUAGGUUAUUCAACGUCACAUAACGGUAAAGAUAGGGAAUAGACCGUUGUAGCUUAUUGAAAAACACACAACGAUAGAAAUGAAAACCAACAGUUGUCUGAAAGGGUAAAAAUACAACGAAAAUGUUUUAUUGUUUGUUGUCUGAGUGGACUUGUCGAUACCACGCAUGGCAUAGAUCUGCGCAGCGACUUAUACAACGAAAGUAUUGAACUGUUGAGCAAAAUGUGAUCACACAACGGUGAUUUUCACACUUGUCUGAAGAUUCAAUCAGACAAACCCGAGAUAUACAACGGAAAACCUAUAGCCACCGUUGUGUGUUAACAAAUCUGUAGUAGUGAAACAAAUUCAUUGCCCUCUAGUAAACCCAGUGGAAGUUUACUGCCCCUUAGUAAAUUUCUACUAGGGGUCAGUAAACUUCAAUACUGUAUCUUCCUUUCAAUUUCAUGCCAAUUAUACACAACAGAUACUCAUUCUUACCCUAAUAAACAAAUUCAUUGCCCUCUAGUAAACACAGUGGAAGUUUACUGCCCCCCAGUAAACUUCUAGUGGGGGUCAGUAAACUUAAAUACAGUAUAUUCCUUUCAAUUUCAUGCCAAUUAUACACAACAGAUACCCCUUCUUACGCUAAUAAACAAAUUCAUUGCUCCCUAGUAAACCUAGUGGAAGUUUACUGACCCCCAGUAGACUUCUACUGGGACUGGGAUCCUUUCCUCAUAUUCCUCUACUCAUGCUUCCUCAUAAAUGAAUCUGAGCCAUCCAAUCUUAAUAGAUGGCCAAGAUUUCUCUGGCUUUAUUCCCUCAAAUUUCAGACCCAGAGUAUAAACCCAAUAGUAGGUUGAUAUGAACCCAAUUGCAUUGCUCAUAUUUCUAGUACGUAUCUAUUCGAUCUUUGAUCAGUAUCCUUCAUCUUGACUGAACUACUUGGCUUUAAAUUUUUUCUUUUAGUUUUAACUCUCAUCCCCAAAUAAAAAAAUUUCUUAUCUAUAUGGCUUCAGUUGCAGCAUAUUAGCAACUAAUUAUAACAAGCUGGGAUCUCUCAUAUCACGAUUUCCAUAACACUACAAGAAACCAGUCUUUCUCACAAAACAUAAACCCAGUAACAUGCAAAGAACAUUGCUUUUUCCAUCGCUGAAGACAAAAGCGAAGAUCUAUCAACGAGACCUUCUUGCUUCUCUCUCAUACUCGAGCAGGAUGAGGAUAUCGCUCUACCUGACCGGUUCCUUGACAUUUCUCAUGAUUAACCGGUUCUGGUCGUCGUGACGGCUGCGACAACAGACGUUCCUCGAGAUCCGCAACGCAUCCUUCUUUCUCUUUCGGCUGCUGAUUCGAUUCGAACAACAGAUGGGUAGUAAAAGUGUAAAACUAUAUGCAAUAGGAAUUAUGGAGCAAAAGAUAUCAGCUUUGGGGUUGGGGUGAGAGAGGAGAGGAGAUCGGAGAUCAGAAAUCUAGACGAGAAUUUGGGAAGAAGAUAGACUAAUCACCUUAAAGAAUGUAAGAUAAAUCCUGACCAUCUAUUAAGAUUGGAUGGUUCAGAUUUAUUUAUGAGGAACUAUGAACAGAGAAUUAUGAGGAGAGGAUCCGAGUCCCUUCUACUGGGGGUCAGUAAACUUCAAUAUAGUAUCUCUAUUUCAAUUCAUGCCAACAAUCUGCCCUAAAUAUACCACAACCACCACUGUACCAAAUAAUCACCAUGCCACCACCAUCAAAUCAAUCACUUCCUAACCAAAAUUAAAAUCAAAAUCAAAAUCAAAUUAAACAAAAACACAUAAAUCUAUCACCAAAGCUAAUUAAACCAGAAAAAUUGAAGAACUUACCUUUCUUACCCCAUUGAAAUUUCGAGGGACGGUGGUGGGUCGGCGAGAAGGCUUGGUAGAGAGAGAAAGGUGGCAGCAGCAGCGUCUUGACGGCGGCGGGGACGGGUGAGAGAGAAAGGUGACCCAGAUCUGAGGUUUGGUGCAAGAGAAAGGGACGAGGAGUUUGUUGGCAGCGAGGACGGGUGAGUCGGGUCGGGUCAAGAUGGGGAGGUUGUUGGCUCCGAGGAGGGUGCGGAGGUGGCCGGGUGAUGUUGAAGAGGGUCUUGACGACACUGAGAGUGAUGGCGUUUGUGGGGACGAAGUUGGAGGUGACGUUGGUGGGGUGGUGAAGUUGGGGGUGGCGUUGGUGGGGGUGGUGCAGUUGAAGGUGGCGGCUGAGGAAGGAGCGGUGAGAAUGGAGAGAGAGGCCGGCAUGAGAGUGAUGGGUCUAGAGAGAGAGAGAGAGAGAGAGAGAGAGAGAGANNNNNNNNNNNNNNNNNNNNNNNNNNNNNNNNNNNNNNNNNNNNNNNNNNNNNNNNNNNNNNNNNNNNNNNNNNNNNNNNNNNNNNNNNNNNNNNNNNNNNNNNNNNNNNNNNNNNNNNNNNNNNNNNNNNNNNNNNNNNNNNNNNNNNNNNNNNNNNNNNNNNNNNNNNNNNNNNNNNNNNNNNNNNNNNNNNNNNNNNNNNNNNNNNNNNNNNNNNNNNNNNNNNNNNNNNNNNNNNNNNNNNNNNNNNNNNNNNNNNNNNNNNNNNNNNNNNNNNNNNNNNNNNNNNNNNNNNNNNNNNNNNNNNNNNNNNNNNNNNNNNNNNNNNNNNNNNNNNNNNNNNNNNNNNNNNNNNNNNNNNNNNNNNNNNNNNNNNNNNNNNNNNNNNNNNNNNNNNNNNNNNNNNNNNNNNNNNNNNNNNNNNNNNNNNNNNNNNNNNNNNNNNNNNNNNNNNNNNNNNNNNNNNNNNNNNNNNNNNNNNNNNNNNNNNNNNNNNNNNNNNNNNNNNNNNNNNNNNNNNNNNNNNNNNNNNNNNNNNNNNNNNNNNNNNNNNNNNNNNNNNNNNNNNNNNNNNNNNNNNNNNNNNNNNNNNNNNNNNNNNNNNNNNNNNNNNNNNNNNNNNNNNNNNNNNNNNNNNNNNNNNNNNNNNNNNNNNNNNNNNNNNNNNNNNNNNNNNNNNNNNNNNNNNNNNNNNNNNNNNNNNNNNNNNNNNNNNNNNNNNNNNNNNNNNNNNNNNNNNNNNNNNNNNNNNNNNNNNNNNNNNNNNNNNNNNNNNNNNNNNNNNNNNNNNNNNNNNNNNNNNNNNNNNNNNNNNNNNNNNNNNNNNNNNNNNNNNNNNNNNNNNNNNNNNNNNNNNNNNNNNNNNNNNNNNNNNNNNNNNNNNNNNNNNNNNNNNNNNNNNNNNNNNNNNNNNNNNNNNNNNNNNNNNNNNNNNNNNNNNNNNNNNNNNNNNNNNNNNNNNNNNNNNNNNNNNNNNNNNNNNNNNNNNNNNNNNNNNNNNNNNNNNNNNNNNNNNNNNNNNNNNNNNNNNNNNNNNNNNNNNNNNNNNNNNNNNNNNNNNNNNNNNNNNNNNNNNNNNNNNNNNNNNNNNNNNNNNNNNNNNNNNNNNNNNNNNNNNNNNNNNNNNNNNNNNNNNNNNNNNNNNNNNNNNNNNNNNNNNNNNNNNNNNNNNNNNNNNNNNNNNNNNNNNNNNNNNNNNNNNNNNNNNNNNNNNNNNNNNNNNNNNNNNNNNNNNNNNNNNNNNNNNNNNNNNNNNNNNNNNNNNNNNNNNNNNNNNNNNNNNNNNNNNNNNNNNNNNNNNNNNNNNNNNNNNNNNNNNNNNNNNNNNNNNNNNNNNNNNNNNNNNNNNNNNNNNNNNNNNNNNNNNNNNNNNNNNNNNNNNNNNNNNNNNNNNNNNNNNNNNNNNNNNNNNNNNNNNNNNNNNNNNNNNNNNNNNNNNNNNNNNNNNNNNNNNNNNNNNNNNNNNNNNNNNNNNNNNNNNNNNNNNNNNNNNNNNNNNNNNNNNNNNNNNNNNNNNNNNNNNNNNNNNNNNNNNNNNNNNNNNNNNNNNNNNNNNNNNNNNNNNNNNNNNNNNNNNNNNNNNNNNNNNNNNNNNNNNNNNNNNNNNNNNNNNNNNNNNNNNNNNNNNNNNNNNNNNNNNNNNNNNNNNNNNNNNNNNNNNNNNNNNNNNNNNNNNNNNNNNNNNNAUGAAGAAGAAUGCCGGAGAGAUCGCGAUCGGAGGUCUGUGCAGCAAUCUCCCUCAGAACUUCACGAUCGAUCAUGGUGGACCUCCGAUCGCGAUCUCUCCGGCCUUCUUCAUUCUAACACUGUCGGGGGAGGUCUAAGAUCAAGCCGGGGAGAAAAAACGGCGUCGCCGGUGCUGGAAUGGUGGAGAAACGGCGAAAAUCCGUAAUGGUGGAGAAACGGCGAAAAUCCGUACGGAAAACCCGUACGGACGUCCGCACCUGAUAAUCCUUGUAUAUAUGUAUACAUAUAUAUAUAUAUAUAUAUACAGUUUCUGUCCAGAGCGAAGCUUUACUUUCAAAUUAAAGUGUGAAGUUUCUUAGUUGACUCACUUUUCGGUCAUAUUUCCACAUCUCCACCGUUCAGUUUGUAGAAGCUAAUGCAUAGAUCACUUAUGCCAAGUUUAUUGAAUUUGAUGAUCGUUAAGGUACCGAAUUAAAUUAAAUCGACAAACAGACCACAAAUCUGUCUAUUUAGAAUUGUUUGUGUAAAUAACGGUUAUGAAAACCUAAAUGAUCAUCGAAUUUAAUGAAACUUGGCAGGAGUGAUCUAUGCAUUAGGUUCUACAAACUGAACGGUGGAUAUUGGGGAAAUAUGACCGAAAAGUAAUUCAAAUAAGGAACUUCACACUUUAAUUUCAAAGUGAAACUUCGCUCUGGAUAGGAACUGAUAUAUAUAUAUAUAUGUGUGUGUGUGUGGAGUUUGUGAGGUGGUACAAACCUUAAAACUUACGGUAUAAAAAUAAAGAGUGAUAUAGUGAGACGUAUAGAGAUAUAAAUUGAAUGAGGGAUAUAUUGUCUGAUACACAUACUGUACUGUCCAGACAUGAUACACAUGACCUGCUACACAAUCCAAGCUAACUAAACAGUUUUUCGAUUUUUCUGUUUAAUCCAAGCUAUAUUGUUAGAGUUAUUGUCAAGACCCACCCAGAAUUUCACCCUGAAACCCGUAGUAAAUCCUGCGGGGACCACCAACAAGGAAAGUUUACCGAAAAUUCGGCAUAACCUCUCUUGAAAAUGGACAACCCUUCCUAACAAAAACCUGCAAACACUUCUGAAAAUUUAAAUCCAACCUUAAACUCCUGGAGCCUUCGUGCUCCCCAAAUCACAACAUCACCCAAAUUAAUUACUAAUCUAAACAAAUCUCAUAUCCAACCAUUUAUAGGUUCAGAGCAACUCUAAUAGGAAGAAAUGAAACAUAAUAAAUUAACAAGCGGAAGCUAUAUGAUGACUAUGCAUCAUCUCCAUGUACAGCCGACCUCAACUAAGCUAACCUGCAAGCUAGGCAUUUUUAAAACGAAAGGCCCAGGGGAAAACAUUUGAAAACGUUAGAGUGAGUGGACAAAAAUAAAUUAAUAAAAAAUAUUUAUGCAUUCCCAUUUUAAUUUCCAAAGAAAUUAUACUGCAUGCGACCGCUCAAAAGCGCUCAACUCAUAAACUGGCAAUUUCACGACUAGCUCCGGCUAGUCACCAACUCAAAUAAAAUGGAGCCUCUCAGGCUAAACUAUAUAUAAACAUAUAUGUGUAUAUAUUUACACUCGUCAGACUCCUUGUAUGAAUUCUAUGAACAAAUUAGAAAAAUAGAAAUUCAUACAAGGCUACACAAGGCUACGACGCUUGCGUCUAACGCUCACGUCGCGCCAUAAUGGAAUUUUUCCUCAUUAUGACCGAAGAGGACGGUGUAUAUAUACGCGUGGACUUCCUAUAUAAAAACCUAUAUAAACCAGAUAAGAAAGUAGUUUUCAUAUAGGGUUAUGAUGCUUGUGUCUAACACUCAUGUCACGCCAUAAUGAUAUUUUACCUCAUUAUGACGGACCAAGCAUGUAUGGCUAACUAGCAUUUAUAUACAUACUAUACUCAUAACAUUCAAAAAACAUAUCCACCAAAAAUCUCAUUUUCGGGAACUCUCCAAAGGAGGAAAAAUUGCCAAAUAACCGAGAAAUCAAUAAGUCUCAUCAGAAUAAAUAAAUGAUCAAUAAAAUAAUUCAUCGCAUGUUUUUCAAUUAAAACAAAGGUCCACUCACAACUCUAGGCAUAAGCCCGACGAAAUCCAAAUCGUCACUCCAAUGAGGUUUCCUCGAACUCUGGCACAAAUAUUUAUAAUUAAUUUCCCAACUAAAAAUCCAAUAUUUAAACAAAAUAGGCAAAAUUAACCGAGAGCCAUACUCACGCUCAUCAUUGCCUAACUUCGAUACGGUCCACACCUCAAUACUGAAACCAACACCCUUAACUACACCAUUCCACAGAUUAUACGACUUUAAUCCAACGGCCGGAUUCUACCUUAUUAAUCCGCCAAAAUUACCAAACUUCGGAAAUUCACAAAUCUAUCCAAAACUCAUCCAAAAAUUCCAUAAAUCAUAACAAUAAACUCCCCUAAAUAUUCCACAUUUAAAACCAUUAAAAUCUCCCAAACAGCGGUGGCACCACCGCCAGCUCUGCCGGCAGCGGUGGCGCCGCCGCGGCCGGAGGCCGACUCCGGCGACCUCCAAUGCCUAUCAAUUUUUGACAGCAUCUUCCUCUCAACUCUCUCUACAACAUUCCUAACUAGCACAAACACCAAUUCCAAGCCUAACUAGGUCAAUCGAGCAAAAACAUCCUAAAAGCCCUAGAAAAUUCAACUCCACAUUUCUCCUUACCUAACUCAAGAGAGAGUGAGCCCUUUGGAGGGGUUGCUGCACGGGAGGAGGGCUACAAAACGAGCCAAGGAUCGCCGGCUUUGGCGGCUGAAGGAGGGAGUUCCGGCGACGGAGGGCUUAACGCAAUCGGACCUCUCGGACCCGAUAUCUUCCUCACGGCGGCGCUAGGGGGGCUGUCACCGGUCCAGGGAGGGUGGCUGGGUUGAUGGCCGACCGAACGGGACCGGUGCGACAGCGGGUUGGUGGCCGGACGGUGGCGGACGGACGGCGAGAAGUCCGACAGGGAGAGAGAGCUCGGGGAGGGGAAAUCGGGAGAGAAGAGAGAGAAGAAAGAGAGGGAGAUGGGUUUGAGCCUCACCCAACCGGUCCAACACCUAUAUACCCACACCUACUCCAAAAUAAAACACCCCGAAAAAUAAUGCCCUAAUAAAAAUUACCUUUUACUAGCUAAAAUUUACCAUUUUUACCGUCGUCAUAUUUUUCUCCUACGAAUAAUUCUCCAAAAUAAUCGUCCCUCAAAACCCCUCUAGGGAGCAAUUAAACCAUAACUUAUUGACGGAGACGGUAAAAUUCUUAUUAAUACCAAGCUAGUAAAUAAAGUUAAAAUUUAAGGGUCGGGAUGUGACAGUUAUGUCUCAUAAACACUUGUAGAUAUCGAAUACAAAGAAAAGGGUCUGACUAUGAUCCAACUACUAAUGCAAGAUGUUAAGCUUCCCAUUGGGAAAGGUUCUACCCCUAGUUUUUUCUUUGCCUGUUUGAAAAUUUGAGUGGCAAAUGAUUCAAUAUCAUUAUUUCACACUAAAACAACCCCUGGUUUUGUUUAAACUGACAAAUACCAAACCAGAAACAGCUGAUCAGACUAAGUUUGGUACAAAAAUAUCCCAUGUAAUAAUAAAAGGCCAGUGGGUUAUAAGAUUAUGAGUUAGGGUGUUGAGUUAGUUAGGUUUGAACUUAUGCAUGUUCUAUGUGUUGGGUUGUUCUUAUUUAAAGUUUGCAUGUCUUUCAGAAAUUCAUUGCUCUAAUUUUGUGCACUUUCAUAACUCAUAGGUAGUUUUUGUUUGAAUUUUAGAAUUUUCUUGCCUAAGUAAUAUAUGAUGCUGGAUAAAGGUUGGGUGCGUCUUCACAGGUAAAAACUACUGUGCUUAGAUAAUUACUACAAAUUUUGAACACUUAGAGAUAAAAAAAAAUUGUUUUUCCUCUUUUCUUUUUCUUGUUCUAUAUAGAGUUGAUCCACGGUACGAGGAAGGAGCAUGAAAUUUUGUGAAAACGGUCACAAGGAACCUGGGAAACCCUAAAAUGAUAGUGUGUCCUUGCAUAGAUUGUUCAAAUAAUGACCAUCAAGAUGGCAGUACUGUUGUUGAUCAUUUGGUGAGGAGGGGAAUGGAUGCCAAGUACAAACAAAGAAAUGGUAUGAGCAUGGAGAACAUAUAAUUAGUGGCGAUGGCGAUAAAAAUGAGGAAGUGGUGGUUAAUGAUGACAUAUAUAACUUGUUUAGAGCUGCCCAAUUAUUUGAUCAAGAGCAGAUGGAGCCUACUCAGUUUGUAAAUGAAGAUUGGGUUGAGCAUACUGAAGAAUUUCUUAAUGAUGAUUUCAUAGCCAAACUACAAGAUACUGAAACUCCUCUCUACCCAAAUUGUUCAAGCUACAACAAGUUAUCAGCCAUGGUAACAUUAUAUCGACUUAAAAGUCAGAGUGGGUGGUCUGAUAAGAGUUUUGAUGACCUUCUUCAGAUAUUGAUACACAUGUUCCCAAGGGACAAUGUUCUUCAUAAGUCGUUGCGCUCGAUCAAGAAAUUCUUGGAGACAUUUCAGAUGGAGUACGAAAAAAUUCAUGUUUGUGAGAAUGAUUGUUGUCUAUUCAGAAAAAAAUGUAAAGAUUUGGACAAUUGUCCCAAAUGUGGUGCCUCAAGAUAGGAAAAAAACGAGGAGACCAAUGAGAUCAGAAAAGGUGCUCCGGUUAAAGUUUUGAGCUAUUUUCCUAUCAUUCCAAGAUUCAAACGGAUGUUUAGUUCAGAAAAAAUGGCUGAAGAUUUAAGGUGGCAUUUUCAUAAUAAAAGCAACGAUGGAAAAAUGCGUCACCUGGUUGAUUUCGUGACAUGGGACAUAGUUAAUGACAAAUGGGAAUCAUUUGUAGCUGAUCCAUGCAAUCUCAGACUUGGACUUUCCACUUAUGGCUUCAAUCCCUUCUCCAUGUUAAGCUCCACAUAUAGUUGUUGGCUAGUGAUGUUAGUUAAAUACAAUUUGUCUCAUGCGUUGUGCAUGAAGAAAGAGAAUAUUAUGCUCACACUGUUGAUUCCGGGUCCAAAGCAACCUGGAAACAACAUAGACAUCUAUUUGGAGCCAUUGAUAGAAGACUUGGAACACUUAUGGCACAAUGGAGUGGUGACUUAUGAUGCAUUUAGUAAAACAACAUUCAAUCUCAAAGCACUUUUGUUGUGGACUAUAAGUGAUUUUCUAGCAUAUGGAAACCUUGCCGAAUGUUGCACAAAAGGUAGAAUGACAUGUCCUCUUUGUGGAAAAAAUACGCAUCAUAGAAGGUUAAAUCAUUGGAGAAAAUUUGUAUACAUGGGCCAUAGGAUAUUUUUGUCACCUGGACAUCCAUAUAGGAGAAAAAAGGCCUGGUUUGUCAACAUCGUGGAACAUGGAAGGAAGCCAAGAAUCUUAACAGGUCGGGAAAUCUAUGUUGCUCUUAGAAACUUCCAAAAUGAAUUUGGAAAAGGUAAUACAAAAAAGAAAAGAAAACAAAAUGACAAUGUUGUUCCAGAUUCUGAUAAUGAGGACAAUGAUGAUUGUCAAUAAUGACUAUGAUUCGGAGGAGCUGUCAAGGUGGAAAAAAAGGUCGAUCUUUUUGAAUUUAUCAUACUGGCAGGUUAGUGUUUGUCAUACAUGUUUUCCUUUUUCUGAAUUUAUAAGUGUGUCAAAUGAUAGUUACUAACAAAAACCUUCAUGAUUUUGUAGGAACUUCCAUUACACACUACAAGAAGAAAAACUUUAGCCGACGAAAAUUAAAAAAACAGGCCGAUGAAAUUUUUUUUUUCAUCGGCUAUAGUCAACGUUAGCCGACGAAAUUAAAUUUUCGUCGGAUAAAGAAUUUUUUUGUCGGCUAUAGUCUGUGGACUUUAGCCGACGACAUUAAACAUUCUUUAGCCGACGAAAUUUAAUUUCGUCGGCUAAAGUUCUUUAUAUUUGCAGAUCUGGACAGCAGCUCAUCUGGGAAAAAAACGGGAGAAAAAGUUUGGGUGUUGUCGAAAUCUGUCCAUAAUUAGUUUAUGGAGCUAUAUAUAGGUACGUACGUAUGUACAUAUGUAUAUAUAUGUUGAUUUUGAGUUUUAUUUGAGUUUAUCGAUUUUGAGUGUGAUUGAAUUGAUAGAUUUUGAGUACGUUGGAUGUAUAUAUGUGUUGAUCGAUUUGGUUGAUGAUUUGAUAAUAUAUAUGAAGUUGUUGUUAUAAGUUGUAGAUAUAUAUAUAUAUAUAUAUGUUAAUUAAUUUAUAAAUUAUUGUUGAUGAUAUGAGUUAAUGAAGUUGUUGAUGAUAUGAGUUAAUGAUGAUUUGUGAUGAUGUUGAUAUAUAAUAUUGUUAUGAGUUGAUCGAUUUUGNNNNNNNNNNNNNNNNNNNNUAUAUAUAUAUAUGUGUGUGUUAAUUAAUUUGUUAUCAAUUAUUUGUUAUCAAUUUGUUAAUUAAUUAAUAUAUAUAUACUAAAUGAAUUGAGAUUUUAUAUAUGGCAUGAAAUUUAAUUAAUAAUUAGCUAGCGUUAUACAUAUAUAUUUUGUUAUAUUUUCAGGAUAUAUAUGGAUAAGAGUUGGAUUUCGCUUCCAAAAUGGGACAAAAGAUAUGGUAAAGGAGUUAUGAGUUUUCUGGAAUAUGCGCUGGCUAAUGCUAACGGGAAUACAAUUUUCUAUUGCCCGUGCACGAAAUGUCAGUGUCGCAGCGAUAUGCAUCGAUUUGGGAUUAACAAAAUAUGGCAGCACCUGAAGAGUAACGGGUUUUGGGAGAAGUACACAUGUUGGUUAUAUCACGGUAAAACAUCAUCAGGGGGUCCGCAUGAUCAUGGGCAAUUUUCUAAGAAGGGCAGUAUAUCCAAUAAUCCAACAACGGCAUUCAUUAACGACAUGUUUCCUUAUGAGAGUGGUGUAUGCGCUCAAGGACAGUAUAUGCCUGACCCGGUGCAGCCCUUCCCUAGAGCUGUCAACACUACUGGUAUUGACAAGUACAACAAACUGUUUGUUUUUCAACAGACCCCUGUGUACCUCGGUUGUCAGAAGACCGUUCUUGAAAGUGUGAUGGACGUAAUGAAGAUUAAAGUUGAGACAAAAUCGACUGUGAAAGCUGUUGAUGAUUAUCUACAGUACACUGCUUCGAUGCUGCCCCACGGUCAUCGUCUUCCUACCACUCAUCAUAAGGUCUGAUGUAUCUUGAAAGAUCUUAGGCUUUCCUACAUCAAGAUCCAUGCAUGCAGAUAUGACUGCGUUCUCUUCUGGGGUAAAGGUCUAGAAGGGAAUGACCUUGGUGGCCUUGACGCAUGUCGGGUAUGUCACACUGACAGGUAUAAGCUGACUCCUGCAGGCAACAGGAAACCUGUGAAGGUACUUCGGUAUUUACCUUUGAGGGAUAGGCUGGAGCGGUUGUACAUGUCUUCACACACGGCCGAAGCUAUGAGAUGGUACGCUGAUAGGGAAUUGCAUGACGAAGAUACCCUUAUACACUUGGCUGACGGGGAGGCUUGGAAGCAUAUAGACAGGGAGUUUCCUCAUUUUGCGUCAGAGGUCCGAAAUGUGAGGCUCGGGCUCUCAUCCGACGGGUUCAACCCUUUUGGCAACAUGAUUCUUCAAUACAGUGUAUGGCCGGUGAUUUUGGUACCGUACAACCUUCCUCCAUGGAUGUGCAUGAAGAAGGAAUACAAUAUGUUGAGUUUGUUGAUUCCGGGGCCCGGUUAUCCAGGGAAGUGUCUCGAUGUGUAUUUGAGACCUUUGAUUAAAGAGCUUAAAUUUUUGUGAGACGUUGGUCAUCCCACUUAUGACAAGUACAUGCACGAGAUGUUAUAGAUGCAUGUCAUGGUUGUUGGUACCAUCAGUGAUUUUCCUGCCCGUGGGAUGUUGUCGGGCAACGUUGUUAGGGGAUACAAGGCUUGUCCAAAGUGCCUUAGCGAUGAGGGGAGCAGCAGUCAUUGCAACAAGAUAUGCAAAUUGGGUCACCGUACUCUCCUUCCAUAUGAUCACGAAUGGCGGCUCGAUGCACAGGCAUUUGAUGGGAACAUAGAAAACGGUGUGCCUCCCAGAAGAUGGACGGGGGAAGAAAUUUUAGCAGUGCUUAAUGAGUACGAUUUUGGGCAACUAGCAAUCAUCCCAAUAUUGUGGUGGCAAUACCUGAAAGACCCGACAGGUACAAAUUCUGGACACAUAAGAGCAUAUUUUGGGAACUCUCAUACUGGAGUAAGUUGUUGAUCAGGCACUACCUAGAUGUGAUGCACAUAGAAAAGAAUGUUUGCGACAGUGUGGUGGGCACAGUGCUGAACUUGGAGGGGAAUACAAAAGACGGUCCUAAGGCACGCAUUGAUCUAAAAAAAAUGCAAUUAAGAAGACAUCUGUGGUUGAAAGAAGGGAAGAAAAAAAUGCCUCAAGCUCCUUACACCGUGAAGCCUGACCAGAAGAACGUAAUUUUCAGGUGGAUGUGUUGUGUGAAGUAUUCUUCAGGCUAUGCAGGAAAUAUAGCCCGGUGUGUGAACUUCCGGGACAAUAAGAUGUACGGGUUGAAGAGUCAUGACUGUCAUAUCCUGCUACAACGUCUCUUCCCUGUUUUCAUUCGACCGUUCCUUCCCCGUCUGGUGGUGGAGCCGUUAGUAGCGUUGGCAAGAUUCUUCUAGAGAAUCUGCACACGGGAAGUGAAAAAAUCUAACCUCCGGGAAAUGCAAGAGGACAUCAUUUAUAUCAUGUGUAAAUUUGAGAGGAUAUUUCCUCCAAAUUUUUUUAACAUCAUGCCUCACCUGAUGAUCCAUCUUCCCAAGCAAUUGUUGCUUACCGGUCCAAUACACUACACUUGGAUGUAUCCCAUGAAAAGGUAUGUUUUUUACACCUGAAUUCCUCAAUAUAUAUACAUGUUCAAUAAUCAUAACAUUUGGCAACUUGAUUUAUAGGCAACUUGGAGACUAUAAAGAUUAUGUGGCUAAUAAUCCGCGCCUGAAGGAUGUAUAGCUGAAGCAUAUAUUGCGCACGAGUGCGUCACCUACAUGAAGUUGUAUUUAGGAGCGUUGAAGGAAACUCCGCAAACCAUGCCGGUAGAUGUACCGAAGUUCAAUCUUUCCAUAGUCUCCAAUGAUAGUGAAGUGUAUGGAAUUUUACCAAACUCCUACAAGUUGCAACCACAUGAGCUAGUCAUUGCCCACUGGUGGGUAUUGAUUAACUGUCGAGAAGUUGAAUACUGGAAAGACAUCUAUCUAUAUUGUCCAGACAUUCAAGGUGAUCUCGAGUACCACAACAAGGAGUUUGCAGAUUAUUUUGGCGGCUGGGUACGUAAUUUAAUAUUUCUGUACGUGUUUAUGUUUAUUACAUAAUUAUCCAUAUUUACAGUUAAAUGGUUGGUUGCAGAUGAACCAUAUUCAAUUUGAUGGUCACCCAAAUUGGUCGCAUGAACUAAGACUUCUAGCGAUGAAGCCGAUAAUGUCAAGAGUUUAUCCGAUGUGCAAAGUGAAUGGCGUGUAAUUUAUAUGUGAACAGAGAGACAGCAGACGGAGAACACAGAAUUCUGGGGUCAUGGCGCAUGGUGGGCGGAAUAGAGUUGACUAUUACGGUGUUCUCCAUUCAGUGGUGGAACUCAUUUAUGGGCAAGGCAUGACAGUGCACCUCUUCAAGUGUAGAUGGUUUGAUACUAGGCCGCAGAGCAUGAAGACCGAUCAGUACGAAAUAUUAUCGGUGAACACUGCUACAAGUUGUUAUGAAAAUGACCCGUUCGUUUUUGCCACAUCGGUAAAACAAGUGUUUUAUCUUGAUGACCUUGCUAAGGGUGACGCGUGGAAAGUAGUCAACCUUGUGCACCCUCGAAACAUUUACCGGGCGGCUACACUUGGGGAGGCCGAAGACGAGGAAGAAGAUGUUGCGUAUCAAGAGCCCAACGCAAUAAGUAUUCCUAACUCCUCUACCGUUCGCCUUAAUAAUUUUAAAGCGGGUCGUUCGGUGCGAAUUCAUGAUGAAGAGCUAAGGCUUAUUGAUGUUGAUCCGAAUCAAGAAACAGACGAAGACUCUGGCGAUGAGGAAAUGCAUAGAUUACCAGAAAUUAAUUCUGACACCGAAGAAGACUCAUCUGAUGAUUCCGAUUACGAGCCUUAGUUUUAAUUUAGAGGACAUAAUACAUUAAUUUGUAAUAAAAAGAAUGUAUUACCUUUAUAGUUUACAUAUGUUGAAUUCAUAUUUCUGUUAUUUUAUAUGAAUUUUGGUGAUAUAUGAACAGAAAGUUAGUAAUGGUUUACAUUAAACCUUCAGUUUUUUUAAUUGUAUUUUUUAUACUUUAGCCGACGAAAUACACCAUAAUUCGUCAGCUAAAACUAUCUUAGCCGACGAAUUAUAUUUUAAGUCGUCGGUUAAGAUCAGGUUAGCCGACGAAUACCCUAAUAUUUUGUCGGCUUUAUUUAUUUAUUUAUUUUUUAUUACAUACUAUAGGCGACGAAUAUAUUAGGGUAUUCGUCGGCUAAACCCUAAGAUUUUUCUAUUACAUACUAUAGCCCUAUCUUCGGUGAUUAUUUUCCGUAAAAUUUUUAUACUACUUGUUGCGUCUCAUCGAUUUGAAACUAUUUUCAGUUGAAGGUCCGGCGAAAAUACGAAAUUUGGACGGUCCAACGACCUUUUCAGUGCAUUUAGGGGUUUGACUUACGGGAUUGACCGUCAGGAUCGAGCCCUUAACCUUGUCGGAUCAAGUUGAAUUUUUGCCCAUACAUGUAUUAUGUCAUGAUGGUCAGAUCUGACGGUCGAAUUUCUGUUUCUCAAGUUUGAUCAUCACAAUCACAACAUACCUACUAAUGUUGUAUAACUUGUUUACCAAGUGUAAAGUAAAUAUUUCGUUUCAAAACAAACUAUACGUAGAACCUUCAAACGCAAAAAAGUCGUGAAAUAAGAUAUGACCAGAAUGGUGAAAUACAUCUACGGUUGAAAAAUCACAGUAUUCCAGUAAAGUUUCGGUGCCGAUAGUUGCGGUCAAUGCAAUUUUUCAUUAUUUCUCCCUAUGAGUAGCCCUAUCUUCGGUGGUUAUUUUGCGUAAAAUUUUUAUACAAAUUGUUGCGUCUUAUCGAUUUCAAACUAUUUUCAGUUUAAGGUCCGGCCAAAAUACGAAAUUUAGACAGUCCAACGACCUUUUCCGUGCGUUUAGGGGUUUGACUUACGGGAUUGACCGUCGGGAUCGAGCCCUUAACCUUGUCGGAUCAAGUUGAAUUUUUGUCCAUACAUGUAUUUUGUCAUGAUUGUCAGAUCUGACGGUCGGAUUUCCAUUUCUCAAGUUUAAUCAUCACAAUCACAACAUGCCUACUAAUGUUGUAUAGCUUGUUUACAAGUGUUAAGUAAAUGUUUCGUUUCAAAAACAAACUAUACGUAGAACCUUCAAACGCAAAAAAGUAAUGAAAUAAGAUAUGACCAGAAUGGUGAAAUACUUCUAUGGUUGAAAAAUCAUGGUAUUCCGGUAAAGUCUCGGUAUCGAUAGUUGCGGUCAAUGCAAUUUUCCAUUCUUUCUCCCUAUGGGUAGCCCUAUCUUCGGUGGUUAUUUUCCCCAAAAUUAUUACACGACUUGUUGCGUCUUAUCGGUUUGAAAAUCUUCAGUUGAAGGUCCGGCCAAAAUACGUAAUUUAGACGGUCACAAUCACAAUGUGCCGAAUGUAUAAAGUAUUUAAGCCGACGAAUUUCAAAGUUUAGCCGACGAAUUUAGACUCUUAGCCGACAAAGUAAAAAUUUCGUCGGCUAAAGUGGUACGGUAUACAGACGAACCCCAGCUCGAGAACAGUCUCCACCGCGCGAAUUCGAAACCCUAGCUAGUCUCCUCCUCCUCCUCGAGCCCUCUCCCGGUCGCCCUUUCCCUCUCCCUCUCCCUCCCUCCGGUCGCCCUCUCCCUCUCCCGGCCGCCAGCCCUCUCCCGGUCUCCCUCUCCCUCUCCCGGUCGCCCUUUCCCUCUCCUGCUCGCCCUCUCCCUCUCCUGCUCGCUCGGGCUGCGCCUGCUCGUCACUCGCCAGGUGGUGUAAUUCUCUGAUUUUUAUUUCGAUAUGUGCGUUACGGGUUUCGAAUUUAAGAAUUUAGGGUUUUUAUGCGCUAUUGAUAUUGUGGAUUGGUUUAUGAUGAAUAUAUUGAGAAUUUUGGUGAUAAUCCAUCUAUUGAAUGUUAUUGGUGUGAAUGAUUGAGUUGGUGUUUUGACAAAAAUUUGCAUUAAUUUGAUAGGACCAAAUAAAAAAACACUGAUCGACACCGAUUGAUUUUGCAAGUUUUAAUAUAUUGGAUUAUGCAAAUUUUAAUAUAUGGUUUUGUUGGAAUAUUGUGGAUAUUUUCGAUGCCUAUUGAUUUUGUGUAUGACCUACAUGUGGUGUGUCGUUAUUAAGUUUCAUGAUUUUCUUUCUCAGCCUUGAUUCAAAUUAAUAUUUUAAACAGGAUGAGCGGUAAUUUUAGAUCGACGAAGGGUUCGAAGGGCCAAAGGUUCGAAUCGUCUGAGGGAACCUCUAGCAACCCUCAAACGUCGUUUCGGGGCCUCAUGACAGCCAGACGUGCGGCCCUUCUGGAGACGGCGCAGAGGUCGCCGGAGGUGCCCCCUUCAUCAAGGCAGCCGGAGGUGCCCCAGUCAUCGAGGCAGCCGCGCGUCCCUCAUUCCUCGAGGUAGUUGUGGCCUCAGACCCAGACGGAGGUGUCUGCUGUCAAGACCCACCCCGAAUUUCACCCCGAAACCCGAGGUAAGUCCUGUGGGGACCACCUCUAAGGAAAAUUUACUGAUAAGCAAACCUCCCUUGAAAAUGGACAACCCUAACCUAGAAAACUAAAGUGUUACUUUCUUAAAUAAAUUUGAGCAUCCUCCAAAUCAACCCACAAUUUUACGAAAGUGAGUAAAUAAUUACAAACUUCGUAUAUUCAAAAAUACAAUAAAAGUCUAAGCACACCACCAGAAACAUUACAAUAAAUCCCAAAGAGUAUUCAGAGCUACUAUACACUAGAGGAGUAGGAAAAAUACUCUAGUAGGUUAAACAGGUAACCUACUGGUGAAAGGUGGCUGAGAAAUGGGUAACUAUGCCUCGUCGUCUCCUACUCGUUCUAACUCGAACUCUGCAGAUUGGGCAUUUUAAAAACGAAGAGCCCAGGGGAAAAACAUUCGCAAUAAUUAGAGUGAGUGGACAAAAAUAAAUAAAAAGAAUAUUUAUGCUUUCCCAAUUUAAUUUCCAAGAAAAUGAAUGCACGUCUUAAACGAUAAUUCUCUUAUCGUUAUAAAUAUCGAGCCUCUACUGCUCAAAAUUAUAUAUAUCAAAAUACAGCCUCUCAGUCUAAAAUAUAUAUACAUGUAUAUAUUUACACUCGCCCAUACUCCCUACAUAAAUUAAUAAAAAUCUAUAUAGGGCUACUACGCUCGCGUCCAACGCUCACGUCACGCCUUAAUGCGGUGAUACACUACGUCAUUAAGGUGGACAGACGGGUGUAUAAACAUGUGUCCAUACCCCUUAUAUGAAUUAAACACUCAUAUAAGGCUACUACGCUUGCGUCCAACGCUCACGUCACACCAUAAUGCAGUUAUAUACUAUGUCAUUAAGGUGGACAGACACAUAUCGCUAGCUAGCAUUUAUAUACAUACUCUCCUUAAAAAUAUAUUAUAAUUUACCGAAAAUCCCAUUUUCGGUAACUCAUCACAAUGAGUAAAAUCGUCAAAUAAAAAUGACGUCAAAUGGUCCAACCAAAUAAACAAUUGAAUGCACGUUAUUUAAAACAAAGGUCCACUCACUAGUUAGGCCUAAGCCUGAAGUCGGUCGGAGGUCUCUUCUGCUCGAGCCUCCUCGCGUCCUGUUCCAAAACAUAAAUAAUUCCUUAAAUAAAAUCCCAACGUUUAAAGAAAAUAGGCAUAAUUAAAUAUGAGCUUCUCGCGCUCAACCAUGCCUAUCGUCCUAAAUCUUAACUUCACUGCCAACCAAAAAUCUCCAUAAAUACCGACAUCCUCAAAAAUCACCUUCCAACGUCCUAAUCAUAAAAAUAAUCCAAUGGCCGGAUUUUAACUUAUUAAUCCGUAAAAAAUACCAAACUUUACAAAUUCCAAAACCUAACCAAAAAUCCUCCAGAAAUUCCUAAAUUCACCUCAAUAAUAUCCCCUUAAUAUUCUACAUCAAAAACCACAAAAUUUCCCAAAACAGCGGCGGCCAGCGACCAACUCCGGCGACCUGCAAAUGCUACCAAAUUUUAACAGAAUCUUCCUCUCAAUCUCCUCUACAACUUUCCUAACUAGCACAAACACCAAUUCCAAGCCUAACUAUGGUAAUCGAAUCAAAACAUCCAUAAAUCCCUAAAACUUUCAACUAUACAAACCACCCUAACAAAAUCGAAUUUAGCCGAAUCCUUUUGAGGGAUUACUCACCUAGAUGAGGGCUACAAGUUGAGCCAAAAAUCACGACCUAUGGUGGCCGGAAGACGGAGCUCCGGCGAAAAACCCUUUCCGGCAGUCGAACCUUUCGGGGUUGACCGCUCCUUCACGGCGGCGUUCCGCGCGCGUGCACCGGUUCAGGAUGAGAGAGGAAGAGGCAAGGGUCCGAACGGGACCAGUCUGGCGGUCGGUGGUGGCCGGACGGCGGCAGACGGUGGUGGUGAAGUUUCCGGGCGGAGGGAGGAGAAAAUCGGGUGGGAGGAGAGAGAAUCGGGAGGAAAAGAGAGAAGUGAGGGGAGAGAAAUAUAUGGGCUUGGCCCAAACCGGUCCACACCACUUAUAACCCAAUCUUCCAAAAUUUAACACCCCAAAAUAAUACCCCAAUAAAACUUACAUUUUUAAUUGAUAACUUUUACAUGCUAACUCUGAUUUUAACGCGUAGCAUGUCUACGAACUCGUAAUAACAUCCUCUACGACUUUCAUGAAGAAAGUUUUCCCAAAUUCCAUACGGAAGAAAAAGUCAACUUUGGAGUCUUAAAUAAUAAACGGUUACUUAAAACGGUAAAAGACCAAAAUAUUACCAAAGUAAAUAACCGUAAAAUAACUUAAGAACCGGGGCGUGACAUCUGCACCCCAUAUGCCUGAGAUACACCGGGCGCCCACUCCGAGUCCUACUACUUCGGAUGGUGGGUCAUCUGGGGUACAAACGCCGCCGCCUCAUCUGUUCCUUCCGCGGAUGAUACCGGCAAUACCUGCAGUCGAUGGCUCAGGGGCGCCGAUUUAUCCACUGCCCCCGCCAGUGGCUUCAUCAGCGGCGUACCGGUUCGUGCAUUUUGAUACGCCUCUUAGAGACGGAAUCUGUCGCGUCCGCCGCAUCGCUCUCAGGUAAUGAAAGAUGAAUGAUUUGUUUUCUUAUAAUUCUCCGAUUUUAAUAAUCAAUUUUGUUUAUCAUGUGAUAGGCACCGUCGGAGCGAAGCCGGCAAAGAAGAAGAGAGGCC